CUCAACAUAGCCUAUGUGAAUCAAAAGGCCGUAAAAGGAAGCGUUAUAGCAGAUUUUCUAGCUAGUAGAGCUCUAGAAGAUUAUGAGCCUUUGAACUUUGACUUCCCAAAUGAGGAUUUGAUGUAUGUGGCAACUGCUGAGGCAAACACACAAGAAGGCAAUACUUGGAAAUUGAACUUUGACGGAGCCUCAAAUGCUGUGGAUAAUGGGAUCGGGGCAGUCUUAGUAUCUCUAGACAAUGAUCAUUAUCUGUUCACUAGCAAAUUAGAUUUUGAUUGCACAAACAACAUGGCGGAGUAUGAAGCAUGUAUCAUGGGAAUCCGUGCGGCUAUAGAACGCAAAAUCAAGGUACUUAAGGUAUAUGGAGAUUCCGUAUUAGUGAUUUAUUAGCUCAAAGGUGAGUGGGAAACAAAAGACCCUAAGUUGAUUAGUUAUUGAAAGCUAGUCCUGGAAUUAAUUGAGCAGUUUGACGACAUCACCUUCUGUUAUCUCCCACGAUAUGAGAAUCAGAUGGCCGACGCUUUGGUUACAUUGGCUUCCAUGAUCAAAGUAAAUAAACAAGAUGAUGUGAAGCCUAUCCAAAUGAGCAUUUAUGAGGCUCCAGCCCACUGUUGCAACAUUGACGAAGAAGAAGAAAAAGACGAUCACCCUUGGAAUCAAUACAUAUUGCGGUAUGUGAAAAAUCGUGAAUACCCAGACCAAGCAACUGAGAAUGACAAGAGAGCGUUGAGGAGGCUAGCUAGUGACUACGUCUUAGAUGGAGAAAUCCUAUAUGAAAGAGGAAAGGAUUAGGUGUUGCUGAGAUGCGUGGACGCUAUUAAGGCUAGGCAAAUCCUGGAAGAGGUCCGUGAUGGUGUCUGUGGAACACACGCUAAUGAUUUUACAAUGGCCAGGCAAAUCAUGAGAUUCGGAUAUUAUUGGUCCACUAUGGAAGGAGACAGCAUCAAGUCUACCAAGAAAUGCCAUAAAUGCCAGAUUUAUGGGGACAAAAUUCAGGUGCCUCCUUCACCUCUUCAUGUCAUGACUUCUCCAUGGUCUUUUUCCAUGUGGGGCAUGGACGUCAUUGGGUCAAUAUCACCAAAAGCUUCAAAUGGGCAUCGAUUCAUCUUCGUAGUAAUUGACUAUUUUACUAAGUGGGUAAAAGCUACUUCUUACACCAAUGUCACAAAAUCGACAAUCAGCAAAUUCUUAAAAAAAGAGAUCAUAUGUCAGUAUGGGAUGCCCGAAAGGAUUAUAUUUGAUAACGCAUUGAACUUGAACAAUAGCACGAUAGUGGAGCUCUAUAGUCGAUUCAAGAUCAAGCACCACAACUCAUCGCCAUAUCACCCGAAAAUGAAUGGCGCGGUAGAGGCCGCCAAUAAGAAUAUCAAGAAGAUUGUGGGAAAAAUGACUAAGACCGAUAGAGAUUGGCAUGAAAAGUUACCAUUUGCCUUCUAUGAUUAUCGAACGUCUGUCAGGACCUCCACCGGGGCAACUUCUUUCUCCUUAGUCUAUGGGAUGGAGGCAGUUUUACCCAUCGAAGUUGAAAUUCCUUCUUUUCAGGUUCUGUCAGAGUUAAAAUUAGACGAAGCAGAAUGGAUCCAAUCCCGAUAUGAUCAGCUGAACUUGAUUGAAGAAAAGAGUCUAAGAGCUAUCCAUCAUGGUAAAAUGUACCAAAAGCGAAUGAUUCGAGCCUACAAUAAGAAGGUUCAUCCUAGAAAAUUCUAUGAAGGGGACUUGGUACUAAAGAAUAUCCUUCCCAUACAAAAAGACUUUAGAGGAAAGUGGAUGCCAAACUGGGAAGGACCUUAUGUGGUAAAUAAGGCUUUUUCUGGAGGAGCAUUAAUUUUAACUGAGAUGGAUGGAAAAAGCCUGCCUAAUCCUCUGAAUUCGGAUUCAGUGAAGAAGUACUUCACCUAAAAAAAAGGAGAGGCCAAAGAAAAAACACAUGAAGGGCACUUCGAGACUAAAAGGGUUUUGAAUUGAAAACCCAAAAAAAGGGCAAUUUAAAUUUUGAUCAAAUGUGGGGCAUGGGGUAGUCUUGUCUUCCCCGAAUUAGCAAGAAGGAAGGCUGCUACAUCUUAGGACAUCAACAAAGUCUUCUAGGACUUCUAAACACGUAUCAAGUUCAAAGGUUCCUCAAAAAGUUUUGUGUAGAGAAGCUCAUACUGCGAUAUCUGGGGCACCUAUUUCCAUUUUAUUCAUUUUUGUAUUUUGACAAAAUACGCCAUCUUGAUUAAUUUAUUCUCAUUCUAGCAAAAUUCGCUAUCUUUAUUAAUUCAUUCAUUCCGAGCUUUGCUCUCAACAAAACUUCAUCUUGUCCAUUUUGAUAAUCUUUUUCAAGCAUUUUUCAUUGAAGGAACGAUUAAUGGACUGACAAUAUUCCAGCAAAAGGAGUUAUGCAUAUUACUCUAAAAGCUUUUAAAUAGUACGAGGACCUGAAAUAGGGCUAUUGUUUAGAACUAACCAACUUAAUGGUUGGAAAAAUUGGGGAAAUAAUAGUUUAAAUUGUGACUAUUUCUUUGGAUUUUCUGUUAAAGAUACAAGCUGAACAAGAAGGCAUGGUAACAUGUCAAUGAUAGAACCUUGAUGAACAAUGAGCAAUGACAGCGACAACCCAAACAUUAAAAAGGGAUCACUCUCAUGACAUUCUACAUUCAUGCAAAUAUCAUUCAUACAUAUCUAGUUAGGAGUAUUUGAUUCAUUCUGAUCAUGACAUCUUAAUCACUAGGCAUAAAUAGGCCCAUGAAAGGGAUUCUACAAGUCAUGUUCCCUAGAGAACAGAUCGAUAAAACUACGAAUCUUAUCUCUCUGAAGUUGCAGUAGAACAGAUCGCAUCCAGUCUUAUCUCCCUAAAGUUGCAGUGGAGCAGACAGAAGAAGCCAAUCCUAUCUCCCUAAAAUUGUAGUGGAGUGGAUUAAAACCAUAGAUCUUAUCUCUCUGGAGUUGCAGUAGAGCAGAUUGCAUCCAGUCUUAUCUCCCUGAAGUUGCAGUGGAGCAGACAGAAGAAGCCAAUCCUCUCUCCCUGAAAUUGUAGUGGAGUGAAUUAAAACCAUAGAUCUUAUCUCUCUGAAGUUGCAAUAGAGCAUAUCGCAUCCAGUCUUAUCUACCUGAAGUUGCAGUGGAGCAGACAGAAGAAACCAAUCCUAUCUCCCUGAAGUUGUAGUGGAGCGGAUUAAAACCACAGGUCUUAUCUCUAUAAAGUUACAGUAGAGCAAAUCGCAUCAAGUCUUAUCUCCCUGAAGUUGCAGUGGAGGAGAAAGAAGAAACCAAUCAUAUCUCCCUGAAGUUACAGUGGAGCGGAUUAAAACGACAGAUCUUAUCUUUUUGAAGUUGCAGUAGAGCAGUUCGCAUCAAGCUUUAUCUCCCUGAAGUUGCAGCGGAGCAGAUUAAAGCUAUUAAUCCUAUCUCCCUGAAGCUGUAAUGGAGCGGAUUAAAAUGAUGAAUCCUAUACCUAUGAAGUUGUAGUAGGUCGGAUUAAAUCUACCAUGACAAGUCUUAUCUCCCUGAAGUUGCAGUGGAGCAGGCUGAAGAUACCAGUCGUAUCUCUCUGAAGUUGCAGUGGAGUGAAUCGAAGGAAGAAGACGCGGUGGAUUGAAGCUACAAGCUGUAUCUCUCUGAAGUGCAAUGGAAUGGAUCGAAGUAACAAGACACAGUGGACUGAAGGAGGCCACCUGAAGAAGAGGAACACCAAAGAAGUCAAGAUUUGGCAAGACCGGAAAAAAUUGGUCAUUACUCCAUUCUCGUUACACGACAACGAGCAAAGAGGGGCAGCUGUAAUAACUCAUUUUUCCCGGGGCCAGAAUUGAUUAAACCCAAAAAAAUAAUAACAAAACAGUCCCAGUCCAUUACAACUAAAUUAGCCUAAAAAUACAAAUGUCCCAAAUGGCUGAAUGAUAGAAACCCUAGCCCAGCAAAAUGGAAAACAAACAGCAAACCCUAGGCCUAAGCGUCGCAUGCCCAGGCUCCAGUGCCGUGUUGCCACUCUGCCUGCGCAUGCCACCACCGCUGCUCGCCUAUCGUCGGCCCUCCAUGCGUGUCAGACCACCUACAAGAGAGAGCCACACGCAACAGCAGAAACAAAAAACAACAAACAAAUAGCAAAACGAAAAAAAAAUAAUGAUUAGAGAGUUUGUAAUCAGGCUAUAAAAGCCCUAAUCUGUGACUUAUGAUUUUUUUACGCAUGUUAGAAAUCAAAAAAGCAAAAAAGAAAACAAAGGUUGAGGCUUCAUUUCUUUUUUCUUUGGAUCUAUUCAUUUUUUUUAUUUUUUAUUAAUUUAUUUUCUAAAAAUCUAUUCUAAAAGAAAAUUAUUAAAAAAGAAAAGGAAAAAGAGGUUAGAAAGAGACCUAUAUCGCUCCGUGGCUCCAUCAACAGAGGUUCCCUCGCCGUCGUCGAAAUCGUGUCUAAAAGGGGGGUGCAAUGUUCUUCAUUCCCUCCAGUCAAAGCCCGACUUGCGUACACCACGAAACAAGGGUCAAGAACCCCUUUUCUUUCACCGUCGGCCAUUGGCCACAACAGCGGCGCGUCGAGAGGCCGGAGAACCCUAAGAGGUGGAGGAGGGUAAUUUUUUUGAGAGAGUUUGAGAUGCUCUCUGUUUUUUUGUUUAAAAUGAAAGAUGAAGUGUUUUUUUUGUGAUUUUUUUAUAUUUAUAUGGAUAAAUACGACGCCGUUUUGAGCCGUUGCAUCAGCGGCCAAAACGACGCCGUUUCGGCUUAGACCCAAAAUCGACCCGACCCAGUAGCCAGGAUCUGCGCGUUUCGGCUGAGACAGGCUAUUUGCACAUUUAGCCCCUCUUCCUUUCCAAUUUUGCGCAAUCGAGUCCUAUUUGUUUCUUUCAUUUUGGCCCGAUGAUUUUUAUUCGAGUUUCAUUUUAAUCCGCAUUGAAACGCCGUAUUUUGGGGAUGGGGAAUAUUCUCGAUUAGUCCCUCGCUCCUGGUACGCAUUCUGUUUUAGCCCCGAGCUUCCUUUUUUGUUUUAUUUGUAAUUUUAAACCCCCGAAUUUCACUUCAAUUUCAAUUUAAUCCUUAGCCGUUUAACUUCAUUUUUUUGUUUUUUUUUAAAAGAAAAAGGGUUUAUUAAUUGUCUCUUUUAAUAUUUUAUUUAUUCACUCAUUUACUUAUUUACAAUUCACAAUCUAAUUUGUAUUUUUUUAUUUUAUCUUAUCUUUUUGUUAUUUUCAUUGGUUUGUGUAUUUUAUGUUUGCCAUUAAUAAUGUUAUUUAUUCUAUUAUUUAUUUAUUUACUUUUUGCUAAAUACUUCAAAAAAAAUAAAUUUAUUAUUAUUGUUGUUAUUGUGAUAUUGUCAUUGGCAUAAUUGUUCUUGUUAAUGCAUGUUAAUAUUUAAAUUUAUUAGAAUCAAUGAUAUGUGUAUUCUUUGAUGCAUAGUCUGUCAUGAUUGUUUUAAACGUGUUUCGCAUCAUCGUUGUUAGUCGUGUACGACCUUUUUUUUUAAAUUUCUUUUUGAUUGUAAUCAAAAUGCGCAUUCUAUUUUCAAAUAUUCCAUUAGUAUUCAUUCUAAUUCAAAAAUUUCAAAGUAAGACAAUAUUUUGCAUUUGGAAAAUCGAGAAAACGUGGCCUAACAUGCUGGUUUUCGAUUUCUCAUUCGACCAAAUAGCCAAAUAUCCUUUUAAAAUUUCAAAGUAAGGCAAUAUUUUGCAUUUGGAAAUUCGAGAAAACGUGCCCUAACGUGCUGGGUUUCUAUUUCUCGUUCGACCAAAUAGCCAAAUAUCCUUUUAAAAUUUGAACGUAAGGCAAUAUUUUGCAUUUGGGAAAUCAAGAAAACGUGCCCUAACGUGCUGGGUUCGAUUUCUCGUUCGACCAAAUAGCCAAAUAUCCUUUUAAAAUUUCAAAGCAAGGUAAUAUUUUGCGUUUGGAAAUUUGAGAAAACGUGCCCUAACGUGCUGGGUUUCUAUUUCUCGUUCAACCAAAUAGCCAAAUAUCCUCUUAAAUUUCAAUCCAUGUUAUUCGAGUUUUUUUUAAGGAUCGUAUUUUUAAAAAAACUCUUCAAAUUUUUCAAUCUUCGACACUAAGACACUAAUUAAUCAACUAGGUACCAAAUUUGGACGUUGUGAGGGUGCUAAUUCUUCCUCUUACGUAACCGACUCCCAAACUUGUUUUUUUGAAUUUCGUAGACCAAAAGCAUUGCUUUAAUAAAAUCAAAUCGUUUAUUAAAAACUUUUCGAGGUGACCCGAUCACACCUUAUCAAAAAGGAUUGGUGGCGACUCCCGUUUUAAUUUUCGUUUUCAAAUCCAAGUCGACCCCGUUUUACGAAAAAAAAAUGGUGUCAACAACAGUUUUUAAUUCAUUGAAUGAUCAUUGAUUUUGCAAAUAAUUUUCUAUACUUCUUGAAUAAAUUGGUUAUAGCUACUUGAGACGCUCUAAUCUCUCAUUAGUUUCUCGUUAUUCAAAGAGACGCUCGAAUGAUUACUUCUCUUUCUGGUAAAUAGUCCCAUGGAUAUACUCCUAGGAUUUAAUUUACCAACAACCUUAUGAUUUAGAAGACCCAAAUCUAGCCAACCAUCUCACACCAGCGUGGAUAAUUUAAAUUAGAUUCUACACCUUUAUAACCAAAGUUAUCACUACAUGGAUUAUGACCUUCCCACAAUUACGGAUGAGAAGAUCAAAAUUAGUUGUAUAUUAAAUUGAAAAACUGAAGAGUGGUCAGUUCAUAUAAUUUCCAAAUCAAUAAUAAUAUGAAGAAUAGGAGAUGUAAAAUAUUCAUGAAUCUAAAAGCAUGAAAAAAAUAAUCUCAUAAUUCAAUGAAUAAAUAACCUUGAUAAAACUUUUGACUAGAAUGAAGAAUUUAACAAUCCAUGAAGAGAACAAUAAUAGCAUAAGAAAAUGUGAAAAUCUUGUUCCCCUUUUUCAUUACCCAAACCCUCUUUAAACACCCACCAAUAGCUCCUAGAAAAAGAGUUCAAAAUAAAGUUUUAAUUUAAAAUAUCCCAUAAAAUCCUAAUCAAUCUUAUAAAUUAAGACUUUGAGGAAGUCUUCCAAAAAGAUAUUAGUUUAUUGAAAACUGUAGAAAAAAUCAUGCAGCUUUGUUUCUCCGAGCAUAAGUCGUGGGUACACCUUAUUCUCCGACUUUUUUUGCCCAUCUUCUUAGUCCACAAAAUACCUAAACUUCACUUUGUCCAUAAAAACCUCCAUAUGGCUUCCAAAUGAUUCCAACUCUCUUUUUAUCCUACAAAAUACAAAAUUCAACCAAAAGAUGAGUUUACAAGCAUAUUAGGACAUCAAAACAUAUAAGAAACUUCUCAAAAUAUAAGUAAAAAUUACACUCUAAAAAUAUAAUGGUUUUAAAAUGAUGUACUCCUAAUAAAUUUUACAUUGGUAAAAGUGGAUUUGGAUCUCUCCCCAUAAAAAGAAUAUAUGUAUCUAAACUAAUGUUGUUUGAACCGGACCCACCGGUUGGAUUGAAAAUCAGUUGGGUUACUUGUUCGGAGAGGAGCUUUGAAUCGGUUGAUCUGGGAACGAAUACAAACUAGUUGAAUUGGAUGGUUGAACCAGUUGAAAUAAUUUUUUUAUUAAUUUUUAAUUUUUAAUAAUUUUUUAAUCUAACCGUUUUAGCCAAAAAAUUCAUUUGUUUUCGAUUUUGGUAUUAAUAAUUUAUUAAUAUAUUAUUUACAUACAUUUUUUUCAGCUACUUGUACAGUAAUUUAAUAUAUCUUAACUUGUCUAGGCCUGCUAUUGAAUUAUUGUUUAUUGAAGUGAAAAAGGAUCUGAGAAAUCUACAAUUAUUUGUUUUUGGUAGAAAAAUCGAAGGAAAAGAAGAAUUGAAGUGCUGUCAACAGAAAUGAAAUCCACCUUAAAAAUUGCUGCUGUUGAAUAACUUGUUGGCAUAUUGUGAGCUAUUACUUCCAUUGAUCCCAUGAAUUUACAAUAAUAAGAAAAAGAAGAUGUUGUUGCUUUCCUUAAUAAUUUCCACUCAACUCGGAGACUCAUUUGAUAUUGGAACUUUCAUGGAAAAACUGCUGUAAAUCUCCAUACAACUCCCCCAGAUUUGACUCAUUUCAAAGCUUACCUUCUUUUCUAUAUUCUUCUUGUUUGAAGACAACAUGAAAUCAUGGACAAAUAACUAAUCUUUUAAUUGACCACCAUAGUGGGUCACAUUGACAUUAAUUAUAUUGAUUAACCAUCAUCCAAUCUUCAUGUAUCAAUUGUCUAUUUCUAGCACGCCUAUUUCCCAACAACCACUUACGAUUUCAUAUAAAUAUUUUAUUUAUUAAAUAAUACUAAAUAUGAAAAUUUUAAUAUGUGCAGUGCGAAAAAAUAGGUUUAAAUGUGUCAAACAUCCUUAUACUCUUUCAAAAUUUAAAAUUUAGUCCCUAUAUUUUAAUUUUGAGACAUUGUGUCCUUGUAGUCUUUUUUAUUUACAAAUCUUGAUCCCUUCGUUUAAUUUUGUCGUUAAAGUUUACAAUCUCAAAGGUAAAAUAACUUUUUUAACCCUCAACAUUUACAUUCUUUUUCAAUUUGGUUCUUACCCUUCAAAAGUACAUAAAAUAUUAAUUUUUUUCCUUUUUUAAAUAAAAAACAUAAAAAAUUAAGAAAUUAUUAAUGAUUAAAAACUCUUUAAAAUAAAAAAUAAAGAAGAUUUUGAAAAUAUAAACAAAAAUUCCAAAAUUAAAUGUUAUUUAAAUCGAAUCGGGCUGAACCCACCAGACGAAGGAACCAAUUGGGGUAUUAAUCCAAUGAGAGGUUAAAAAUUAGUUAACUUGCGAACCGGUAUAGAUUCACUGAACUGAUCUAAAAUAUUUGUUGAACUAAUUUUGAAUUGGUCCAACUAGUUCAAAUAAAAUGAAUUAUUAAAAAAUAAAAAUAAAAGAUAUUAUAAAAUUAUAAAAAAACUGGUUCAUUUGACGGUUCAAUUGAUUUUUCUAGUCUAGUUCAACCAAUCCGUACCGUUUUUCAGGUCUACCGAAAUUUAAAAUUUUUAAACUUUUUUAGCCCUCAACAUUUACAAUUUUUUUUCAAUCUGGUACAUACCCUUUAAAAGUACAUAUUAUUUUUAAAAAAUUUAAAAUUAUUUUUUCCUAUUUUAAGCAAAAAAAAUUUAAAAAUAUAUAUUUUUUAAAAUGAAAAAGUAAAAAAAAACUUAUUAAAAUUAAAAAAUAAAAAUAAAAAUAAUUUUUUAAAAUAUAAAAAAAUUUCAAAAUUUCAAAAUUUUCUAAAUUGACUAGACCAAUUGGAUUAAAAACCAGUUGGGGUAUCUGUUAGUGAGAGGUAAAAAAUUGGUUGACUCACAAAUUGGUACAAUUUGGUUGAACCGGGCUAAAAAAUCAAUUUAAUUGGCAGUCGAACCAAUUUUUAUAUAAUUUUUAAUAUUUUUAUUUUUAUUUUAAUAAUUUAUUUGCUUUGAACCACUCAGACGGAUCAUUCUGGGAACCAAUUGGUCAGACUAGUUAAAUCAAUUUUUUAGCUUGGUUCAACCAUUUCGUACAGGUUCGCAAGUCAAUUGGUUUUUUACCUCUUGCCGGACCGAUGCCUCAACCAAAUCCUAAUUUGACUGGUCAAUUCGGUCCAGUUUGUGUAACAUUGAAUUUUGGAAUAUUUUUAUAUUUUUAAAAUUAUUUUUAUUUUUUCUUUUUGAAAUUUAAAGUGCUCACAUUUCUUUUCAUUAUUAUUUAUUUUUUCAAAAUAAUUUUUUUAAUUUUUUAUUUAAAAUAUGAAAAGAAUUAAUAUUUUAAAAAGUUUUGAAAUACUUUUAAAGGAUAAGGACUAAAUUGACAAAAAAUGUAAAUAUUGAGAGCUAAAAUUAUUGUUUUACAUUUGAUAUGGUUAGCUUUAAUGACGAAAUUAGAUGAAUGGACCAAUAUUUUUAAAUAAAAAAAUACAGUGACUCAUAUCUCAAAAUUAGAAUAAAAAAAAUUAAAUUGAAAAAAUACUAUAAAGACGUUUAACAUAUUCAAACAUAGAAUUUAUAAUAAAAACAAUAAAAUUAAUAAUAAUUUCUAAAUCGAAUAAAUUUAAAUAAUAUAUUUUUACAUAAAAAAAUAACACACAUGAUUUAUACAUAAAAAAAACCUUAUAUACCCUUUAAAAAAAACCUUGCGUACAAUAUCCCAUAAUUUCUGUAUCUUAUUCUUCAAAUACGAGAUCCCAAAAUUUCUGCAACCUUAUUAAUACAGAUAAUUAAUCUUUUAAUUGACCAUUAUAGUGGUCGCACUCACAUUAAUUAUAUUGAUUAACCAUCAUCCAAUCUCCAUGUAGCAAUUUUCUAUUUCUAAUCGCAAUUCCCCAACAACCAUUCACGGUAGUUAAUAUGAAAUUUUCUAUACAGCAAUUCAUAUUUAAUGUAGUCUCACUUACCUUCGUUAAUGCUUGUAUGGUCUUCAAGUAUUAAAGAAUUGAAUAUGAAGGAAAUUACUCUUAAGACCUUUUUUUUUUUGGCUGAUUUGGUUCCCACCACAUUCACAUUUGGUCAUAUCUUAUGAAUAAAUUGUGACCAUAACCAUUUAUUUCUCGUGUAAAAGACUCACCUACCAAUGGUUAUUAGACUGCCACUUCUAUAAAGCUCCCAAGGCUCUAGCUAAAAGGUAAAUGACUGCUAACUAGUGAAGAUUUGUGUAUAGACUUUUGUUGUUUCAAAGCUUUGGGUUUAUAUUCUGGGUUGCUUGGUUUUUAAUAUUUUGCGGGGAUUUGGUUGAUUGAGAGAGUUGGGUAUUUAGCAUAAUGGAGAAUGAAGCAAAGAAAGUGUUGCUCACUUCAAAUGGAGAUGAGAUUUCGGUGAACAUUGCUUUGCAUUUAGCCAAACGUGGUUGCAGGUUAAAGGCUCUCCUACUUUUCACUCCUUUUAUCUUAAUUCAGUUUAUUUAUGGUUUUAGUGUCUCUAUCAUAUUAAAUAGUACAAAUUUGAGAUUAAAUCAUUUAUUUUAAUUUAACGCAUUUUAGUCACUAUUUUUAUAAUAUUAUUAAAAUUGUUGUGGUCAAAUUGAUAAGGUAAUUUUUUUUAAAUAUUAUUAAGCAUUUUAAUUAACUUUAUUAUUUGUUACAUGAGUUGUCACAUAACAAUUUUAAAUAAAUCCAUCUCAUCACUUAGAAAGCAACAAAUAAAAAAUUUAUGCCAAAUCAAAAUGGCAGUAUCAACUCUUAAACAUUAACAUAGUAGGACUAAAAGCAGAAUUAGACCUUUGAUUAUGCAACAAGUGAGCAAAAGUUUUAACUUAGGAGUGUUGAUGUUUGAGGCAUGUGAAUAGGUUGGUUUUAAUGGGAAAUGAAUGGUGUUUGAGGAAUGUGAGAGAGAAGUUAAUGGAAUCAACAGAUGGAGUGGUCCCAAUGGAGGUGGUUGGAUUGGAUCUGGAAGCUGAAAGUGAGGGAGCUUUUGAUGAAGCAGUAGAUAAAGCAUGGAAUGUGUUUGGACAUUUAGAUGCUCUUCUCAAUUGCUAUGCUUAUCAAGGUAUACAUGUCUAUAUUAUAUAUGUACGUCUUUACACGAAUAAAUUUUAAAAACAGGUAAAUAUAUACGUAUUCAACACUAACUUAAAUCUAAAUAAUAUAAACUUGGCUUAUUGGAUUAUACUUUCGUAUCCAUAUUGUAAGAUGAAAAACAUGUGUCUUAAACAGGGAAGAUGCAAGACCAUCUUGAAUUAGGUGAAGAAGAGUUAAAAAGGAUCAUAAAAGUAAAUUUCAUGGCUGUAUUGUUUCUACAAAAAGCUGUUGCCAAACGAAUGCGAGACCAUAAAACAGGUGGUUCCAUUGUAUUCAUGACCACAAUACUCGGUGCUGAAAGAGGACUUCAUCAAGGAGCUGCUGCAUAUGGUUCGUGUUUGGCCGCAGUGCAGCAAUUAGCUAAAGUAAAUUCCCAUAUCAAUCAGUAUUAAGCCUCUCAAUUUUGAUUCGAAAUAUCGACUUGAAAUAAUGUUGUGUUGCUGUUGUCAGUUGUCAGCUUUGGAGAAUGGGAAGCACAAGAUCAGGGUGAAUGCGAUCGCUCGUGGUUUACAGUUGGAAGAUGAAUACCCACUGUGGGUUGGAAAAGAGAGGGCAGAGAAGCGGGUGAAAGAAGCAGCGCCAUUGCACAGAUGGUUGGAUGCUAAGAACGAUCUGGCUUCAACUGUCAUCUAUUUGAUCAGCGAUGGCUCACGAUUUAUGACUGGAACAACUAUAUUCGUCGAUGGUGCUCAGUCUUUAACCAGGCCUCGUUUGCGAUCCUAUAUGUAGUUUUCUUUUUCUAGCUAAGCUGAUUCAGAAACAUGAAUCCGAAAGAUCCAACCAGCCAGGCUCAAGAACAUUAUAUUCUUUGUCAAAUCUAAUUUCAGUCCCUAUACUUUAACCAAAUUAAAGAAUUAGUCUCUUUAUUUUUUAUUUGUCACAUUUCAACCCUCUUAGUGUAUUUUUGACGUGGACAGUCAUUCCAAAUUGUUAACACUGUAUAAAAUUAUCGUUAGUGUAUUGAUUGGUUCUUGCUCGAUCAAUUAUCAGGAUCUUGAUCUGGGAAGUACUUGUUUCGAUCAUUAGAACACCUACCUAGUUGGAUAUUACAUGUCGGUUAACAGUUCACUGUUCAAAUUUUUAUUCUCCUGGAUAUUUAUCUAAGUAUUGCUUGUUUCAAUCAUUAGAACACCACGCUUUCUGGUUAGUAUGUGUUGCAAGCAAGGUCGAGUGAUCUUUGGAGCAAUCUUGGGUUAAUUUUGCAUAUGAAAUCAUGACUUCUUUGCUAAUUAAGUGUUGGUUGUUUGAUUUUUUGGAUCUUAUAGCUAAGUGAGACAUACCCUCAUUCUAUAGUGUUUAGAGAUAGAAAUCAGCCAAGCUUAGCUUUGAAUGCCAUAUCAUAUAGAGUGAACCUAUACAAUCCCCAAAAUAUAUAUAAGAAAUAGUUAAUCCAUCACAUCAUAUUUUAUUACGCUUAAUUCAUCUAAUCACUUCAUGUCCACUUCAACAAUAUUUCUAAUUGACAACCCCUUACUUUACUACCUGUAAUAUAAAAUACUUAAGGAUUGAAGCUCGCACCAAGCUAACCUCCCUUUAUAAUUUCCUUAUUCCAAAACCACAGAAAGCAUAUAAUAUGCUCAACUACUUGUAAUACAAUCACCCUGCAACAACUACCUCUUAACUCCUUUGUAUACCUUGAACCUCCAAUUUUGAUGACUUUUUGCACCAUACAUGGUGUGAACCAUCACCAUUAUCUUAUCCCAUAUCAUGUAUAUAACUUGAUUGUUAUAACAUCUAUAAAAAAAAUAUAUGUUUUACUUGUUUUCUAAGUAAUAGGGAAUAAUCCAGAACAGGACCGAUCUCGUUCUAAUGGUAGAAGCCAUUGAUUCCCUUCCUUGAUGGUGGUAUUUUUGUGUUUGGAGUUGACGAUUUGGGUGGGGUUUUUUUUUCUUCAUUGGACGGCCUUGCUCUGCCUUGGCUGAGAACCCUAUUUUGUUUGAGGUUUUUGCUGGUCUGUUGUAAACGUAUGUUAGGAGGACGAAUACUUGUGAAUAUUGCUUCCUUCAUGUACGGAAAAAGCUGAUAUAUAAGAUAAAAUUUUGAAACUCGUGGAGAGAAAAUUGUUUGAUUUCUAUGGUCAAUGUGGAAAAUAUGGCAACCAGGACUGGCUUUGUUGUGGAACACAAAGCCUGUAGGUCUUCAAUUUGCUAUUUUCACGUUAUAUGCUUCCUGGAAAGUCAAUGAACUUUCGUUUCAUUUUUCUAUUUAGAAUGAUUGUCGUUUGUAUUGGUCUUGAAUUCCAUGAAGCAGCUGCCAUUGUUGAAUGAAUAUUAAUGCAUCUAGAAACUUUGUCAUUGUAUUAAAGUUAAACCAUAAUAAUGGCAUUAAGGUUGCUAUUCCACUAACAAUCAUUUGCUCAUUUAGACUAAUAUCGGGUUCGUACUAUCAAACUAAUCAAAGAGUCUUUGCCUAAUUUUGUCUUGUUUGAUACAUUAUCCAAUAAUAAAACCUUCCCCUAGAUUUUUUGUUCAAGUCAAAUACAGGUGCAAAUUCCAUAUUUGAACAUUGAAGAAUCUUUCUAAACCAACAAAGAACAUACCUCAAAUUAUGAUUUCAUUUUAUUUUAACUAAUUUUUUUUAUCCAUACAAUACAUUAGUUGAAUGUAUUAAUUAUAAUAUAUGAAAAAUAUUUUUAUAUAUUUUAAAAAUGAUACAUUUUCAUAUAUAAUAUAAAAUUACCCUAAAUAUUAUAUUGAAUAUUUAUAUUAUUCAACUCAUUUGACUAGCUGAAUCAAUGAAAUUUUUUCCAUAAAUCUUCAUCAUCUGCUUGCUCAUUUCAAGCUCUCAACACUUUCUUCAUUAAUUUCAAACUGCUCAUUAUAUAGUGCCAUGUAUCUUAGCCUCGUAUUGUAAUUAUAUAAUCACUCUCUCAUCAAAUUCAUUCUUCAAAUUUUUAAUGGAUGAUUUCUUUACAUGAUCGUAAUGUUAAAAAUUAGAGAAUAAAUUAUUUUAAAAUAAAUUAUACAAAAUAAUAUUAAAAUAUAGAAAGUAACAAUAAGAACAAAUUGAAAAUAGGAAAAUAAUGUUUAGAAACCUUAAACCAACGAUGAUUUAAUUUAUAAUUCUCUGUUAUGUUUCAUUGUUUUUGCGUGAAUUUCUUUAUAGGUUUGCAAACAUGCAUAAGGGAAGGAAGAAAGGUAGACUUUGAAUACUAAUUUUAUUUUGUAUAAAUUAUUUCUUACUUGUUGUGGGUUUUUUUUUUUAUUUACUUUAAGUUUCAACUUUAAUUUUCGUAAUCAAUAUUAAGAAUUUUCUAUUACUUUUUACAUUAACAUAAAAAAAUAUUUCUUUUCUUUAACGUAUUUAUUGUUGUAUAUGACAUUAAUUUACUUAAAAAAUGAAUAUUUGAUUGCUUUCAAAAAUAGAGGUACCAAAUAAUUUAAUAUGAAACGAAUUGUUGACAUUCUAUGUAGUAAAUAUAUUUACUAUCUAUUAUUAUGAUAAUUAAUCAACUUAGGUAUAAAUUGUGUUAUUAGAAAAUUACAAUUCAAAAUAUAGUAUUAGGGAUCAAUAAUGCAAAUACGAAAAUGUGUAUUAAGAAGUUGUUUAGAAUUUUAAUAAAUUGGAAUUUGUAAUUAAUGUAACCAUACAUUAUUAUUAUGAAUGGAAAAAAAUCAUAUUUAAAACAUGAUUUUAAAAAUGGGAUUGUUACACCACAUACCCAACCCGAUCACUAGGUCCGAGCUACAAAAUGUCAUAUUCGUUAUCGGAGCAACUACAAUCAAUUUUAUAAAAUUUUUACCAUUAAUCAUUUAGUUCCAAGUAUUACAAGCUUAAAACACGAUAUAAAAUCAUUUUUAGGUUAUAUAUGAACUUACGAAAGUUCAAUACCAUCUUAAGAUUGAAUUCAGACUAAACUGAAAAGUUUUUAAAAUAUUUCAGGUGGGUGUUAUGACUUUGAAAAGGGUAGUCAAACUUCUCAACCCGAGGACCAAAUUGUAAAGUUUACAAAAUAAAAUAAAGUCGACGUCUAGACCUUAAACAGGAGAUGUCGCGACGAGAUGGUCUGAUGUCGCGACAUGCAAGGUGUAAAGUUGUGACAUUGCAAUCAGUCCACUAGGUCCCUGUUUCCCAAUGAUUUCCACCUAACAUGCUUCAUAUCAAUUGGCCUCAUGGCCCCAAUUUAACCAUUCAAAUCUUACAAAACAUACUCAAAACAUAAGUAACAACUUUAAACAUUAUCCAUGUGUAUGGCCAAAACCAAUUUUCAUAUUAACACAAUUUAUAUACAAUCAUCAUAACCUUAACACUUUGAGACCAACUAUACCUAGGUAUAUGCCAUUGAUCAAAAGAAAGGAGCUUUACAAACUCAGGCUGGGUCGAUCGAUGAUGUUUGAAUGCUGACUUCUCUUUUUUGGGGCUUCAAGAAUACAUGUAUCUGCACACGGAACAAACAAACUGCAUGUUGAGCAAUAAGACUCAAUAGUACAUUUAUGAUUCAAGAUAUAUAACAUAAGCAUUAGUAAUAGGUUUCAAGACAAUACAUGCAUAUAUGUAUUUAAUAUCCAACCAAAUCAUGUUCUAAAGUGUCAAACAUUUCCAUCAUCAUUCAAUACAUGUAAGCAUACUUAUAGCAAUACCAAAACAACUUAUUCAACAAUGAAACAUAUAAGGCCAACUCCUACUAGCUUAUCAAUUACAAAUCCCUUACUACAUAUCAAUUCAAAAUCAUUCAAGAGUCAAGCACACAUUUAUGCAUCUUUAUCAACAUGCCAUACAAUGAUAUGUUCAAUUAUCAUCAUUUAUUUGUUUAUCUACUGAUAAAUCCUUUUUCCUGGAGUAGUUUGACUCUUUCCCAUUCAUCUUGGCCCUAAGGUUCAUUUCAAUUGAUUUUCAUAAUCAUUAUUAUGUUUUCCUCUAUCUUCACAUAUAUACAUAUUUGGAUCACAAUAUCAUUUAUAACCAUAUUCACAUCAUUUACCAAAUUAACAAUUUGUAACCCCUAUUAACUUAACUUGGACAGAUACAUAGAUCGUCCAACCAACACACCAAACUAGCACCGAAGUGCAACAUUAGAUAAAUGAAGUAGGGCUAUUUGGCACAUAAACUGCAUACUAACACACGAAGCACAUUAUUGGCACACGUAGUGCAUCUUGACACACGAGGUGCAUCGAGGUGCAUCGUGGUGCACAAAGUGCAUACUAGCAUACGAAGUGCAUCCUGGCACACAAGGUGUUUCCUGGGGCAUAAGUGCAUAACCCAUACUCAAACCAAUCCUAUGGCAUGUCAACUAUAUCCGAUUUAGCCACACUAGUUAAUAGGGUAUAAAUGUUCAAUUUCGUUUACAAUUUAGUACAUAUAUCAUUUCUCAAUCAUAUUCACUAUCACAAUCCAUUAUAUAAUCAUAUCACAUAUAUUCCAUGUCAUUCAAUACAUUUCCACCCAAUUUCACAACACAUACAUAUUUCAAAGCAAUUCAUGUUAUUUUACAUUUGAUUAAUUUAUAUCUUUUAUCCUGACAAUUCAUAUUCAAGUUCAAUUAUAGGAUUCAUAAUAUCAUUAUAUACUCAUUUUAACACCCGAAAUGCAGUUAAUAUGUAAAUGCAUCAAUUAAAAUGAUCCCAAAUUAUAAAUGUAUAAACAAGAGUUUUAGGUUACUUGUCGAUCACUUUCGCUUUUCCUUUCCCUCUCAAAAGGUCUGUGUCGACAUUAGCUAUGGAUAAUCAUAAAGCAUAACACACUAUAAAUUUCCAACCAAUUCAUAACGAAUUAUUAGUUUAUGCAUAUUUUGCAAUUUAUUCAAUUCAGUCCCUAAAACCUGGACAAGCAUAACUUUCAACCUAGAGCUUUGGAUUAAAAUUCAAUUUCACAUUUAUUCAUUACAGACAUUAAACUUUUUAUAAAUACCACAAUUUCAUAACAAGUUUUCAUUUUAUUUAAUUUGGUCUCUAAUGCAAACAAGCUAGCAAUCGAGCUUGUUAAGCUUUACAAUUUAAUUCUUUCUAUAAUCUAAGCUUAAUUUCUAUCAAAUUCACACCUAAUUCAUGCAAUUCUCAACAAUGGUAACGGUCCAAAAUUUCACCAGUUGAUCAAAUAGAUCCAUUGGUUAGCUUAUUGAAGCUCCCAUGAUAAAAAAAAACUAUAAAAAUCAAAGAAAAAUGGCUAGGGACUUACUUGAAAUUUUGGCAGAAAGUUCAAGCUAGGUUUUUAAGCUUUCUCUUCAAACAUGGUGGACAAUUGCUCUUAGGAAGAAUAUGAUGACUUUGUCAUCUUCUUCCCACUUAUUUAACUUAUAUACUAUAAUAUUUAAUUAAUUAGACCUUAAUUUGAAUUAACUUAAGCUAAUUACAAUUAAUAUCACAUCCCACUAUCAUCGACUUAAAAUAGGUUUAUUAGACAUUUUAAUCCUUGUAUAAUUGCUAUUUAAGUCCCCAAGCCUUAUCUUAAUUAAAAAUCUAUAGUGAUCAAACUUUUACAAUCUAGUUACUAGGCUAUAAUUAACCACAUUUUUUACUAAAUUGCUUAUCCCAAUUUCAGUUCAUCAACAUAAUAACUCUAUAAAUACCUCCAUUUAAUAUUUACGGGCUGGGUUAUAGAAACGAGGUCCCAAAACUAUAAUUUUUUAUACCAUUAGAAAUUAGGUUGUUACAAUUCUUCCUCUUAAGAAAUUUCAUACUUUAAAUUUACCUAGAAAGAGGUGAGGGUACUAAGAUCUCAUUGUUUCUUCUAGUUCUUAGGUCGCUUCUUCCACGCUAUGACUACGCCAUAGGGCUUUUACCAAUGGCAAGCGCUUAUUUCUAAGUUCUUUCACUUCUUUAGUGACAAUCUCUAUUUGUUCUUCAUCAUACGAUAGAUCAGACUGAACUUCAAUUAAUUCCACCAGAAUAACAUGAUAUUGAUUAGACCGAUAUCGUUGGAGCAUGGAUACAAGGAAUACAUCAUGAAUAUUUUGUAAUUCUAAUGAUAAGGCUAGACGAUAUGCAACUAGUCCAACUCUCUCAUAAUCUCAUAAGGCUCGAUAUACCUAAGACUCAACUUUCCCUUGCGACCAAAGCAUAGGAUCUUUUUCCACUUGGAUUGUAAUAGCUCACCGAGUGGAGACCCUAUAUUCAAUUAUUGUUUGGCGUAUAAGUUAGUUAAGUCAAGGGUAAAAUUGAGUAAGUAAAGUAUUCAUUUUGGCAAAGUAGUAUACUGUGUGGGAUUCACCAUUAAGCAAACUCCAAAUUUGGCAAACUCUAGGGUUUGGUAAACUCUUCUAUUAAGUAUCUUCCCACCCCAGAUGUUUUUGGGUGAACUCAUUAAGUUUGCAAUUUGAUUAGACUUGUUUUUAUAUUUAUUGUUUGAUAAAUUAGUUAUUUAUGUUGGGAUUUAGUUAAAAUCUAGGGUGUUAAGUACGUUUAAUCACAGGAAUCAAGGGUGUUAGUGAAAUUAUCUGAUCUUUCCACUAAACCUUGUUUACAUUGCAUAAGUGUAUAAGGAUAACAUUAGCGAUCAAGGAUUAUGUUUACAUCUUCUUUCCAAAAUUUCUCUAUAAGUUUCUAAAAAUCCAUAAAGUAGAGAGCUUCAUCGAGGAGAAUUUGUGGACUUUAGCUAACCCCUAAGUAACAACCCAUUUUCAGUGAAAUCAAAACAGUGGUUUCAGGACCACAAAUUUGACGUGAAAAUAUUUAUUUUAUUAUUCAUUUAAUAUCUACGAAAUAUUAGUAAGGUUGUAUAAAAAAUUCGUUACGAAAUUUUGAUGUUUGCAUGCUUAAUUAAGUAAAAAGGACUAAAUCAUAAAAGGUGCAAAAUUAGUGUUAUAUAAGUUAAAGGAACUAAAUGGCUAUGCUAUUAAAUGGUUAAGGGAUUUAUGUUGUAAUUAGACCAUUGCUAUUUUGAGUGGAAUUUUAUAUACAUCAUUUAAAUGAUUUUAAAGGUUAAUGUAUAAGGUUAUAUAGGUAAUUUAAUUAAUAAGUUAAGUAAAAUAAUCAAAACAAAGUUAUCAUCUUUGUUUGUUCAUCACUACCACUAAAAUAGACUUAAGAAAAUCCAUUAAAGAAGCUUGAAGGUUCGACCAAGCUCUACCUUGUGCAUAUUAAGUUAAGCCUCGUACAGAUCUAGAUCAAGAGAAAGAUAAAGUAUCAGACUAGUUGAUCCUAUUUCGUCAUUUUUGUGAUCGAAGUAAGUUCGUAUGUUUAAAUAGCAUUUUAAUGUACUUAAUUUAAAUGUUAUUAUGUUAUUUAUCAUAUUCUGCUUCGACAGAAAAUUCGAUAACGUUACGACGACUAUUGAGCCUCGUUUGAACCUUAGGAAUAUGUAGGAUACAAAUGACAUGUCAUUAGGUUACCAUGUUUCAGGUGCUGGUCCUGAACGUCCUACUGAUGGCUGAGUUCUGGUAUUUGUUGCGAAUACUCAUCAGCUUGUGUGAGCGGUAUUGUGUAGCUACGUUUCGAACGUUAGCUUGUGUGAGUAGGCCUAUUUAUGGUUCGUAGGAGCAUUUAUCUAAAGGAAAAGGAAAUGAAUGGUUUUGACCAUGUGUUCACACACUUUGUGUGACCUUCUAGUGUUUCGAUAUUAUUCUAAGUGGUUCAAUGGGCAUGUAAAGGGAUGAUUACACUAUGAAAUCAUGGAAAUGUAUGAAUUAUUGAUGAGCAAAGUAUGUAUAGCCGUGUUAUGAAAAAUAUGAAUUCACAUGUAUUAUGAUUAUGAGAUUUACCUUACCAUGUGAUGAAUUUGGCUAAGUUAUGUGAUUAAACACUAACUUGGGUUGUUGGUGAUGCUUAGGCUUGUGCCAAGCUUGUGUUGGGUUGAUUCAUGUCUAUUUUUAUGAUUAUGCAUUGAAAUGGUAAGUUUUGUUCAUGAUUUAUGAACUUAAUAAGCGUUAUAUGCUUACGUCAUUUUUCUUUUCUAUGUUUUAUAAGUUAUUGGAAGCUCGAUCGAUUUGGAAGCUCGUCAGAGACCUAUCACACUAUCCAAUGACUAUUUUGGUAGAUUUUGAUGUUUUAAGUCAUGGUUAUAGUAGAAUGUAUAGGUGAAUUGUGCUCUAUGAUAUUGUCAUUAUGUUCGGCUUGUAAAUGUGGUAUCAUGGUUGAUGAACUUUUAGCAUUUUAAUGCUUUGAUGGUUGGUGAUGGAAUGGUUAUGUUCUAGAUGACCAAUUUGGCAUGUUUGAGUGUGAUUUUGACAUGUGGUUAUUGUGGUAAGUUUGGUAUAGAAUUAGGUUAUAAAUGUAUGGUUGAUGAAUGGCUAAAUUAUGCAUAUGUUUAAGUAUAUUUGAUUGUUGAGAUUGGGGUGCCUUUUGGAAUAUUGGUUGUAUGCAUUGAUGUCAUAUUGAAUUAGCUUUAUUAUGGAUGUUUUAGGCAUGUUUUGAAGCUUGAUUGGUUGUGCAAAUGGCUUGUAUGUGCAAGCUUGAUUUGGGUAAAAGAAAUGACUUGAAUUUGGCCUAUUUCUUGUCCACGGGACCUAAGACAUGGGCUUGUGUCUAAGCCGUGUGUGAUAAAUGGUCAUUUGUCCCCUGUAGGUUCCAAAGGGUUGCAUGUUAGGCAGUUACAUGGCCAAGCACACGGCCUGGCACACGGGCGUGUGAGACCAUUUCAAGAGUUACACGGUCAUUUAUAGUGUUGCAUGCAUAGACCUUAGAACUAUUGGUGAGGAAAGAAAAUUCUUGAUUCUGGGUUUUGAUUAUGAUUCUUGCAUGCAUGUUAACUGUUGAAAUUUUAAUGAUUUGAUAGGGAUAUCUAUCUUCUUUUUAGCUCAAGAAGCUAACGAAGGUCCCAACGACAAGGGCAAAGGACCUAUUAUGUAGAUCACUAUAGUAGAGUUUCUGGCGAGUUCCUUCUUACUUCCAUGUAUUGUAAUUUCCAUUGUUGUAUAAAUUGUGAAAGGUAAUUAAUCUCUCUCUAUAUCGCAUGAGUGAUAAUUGUUUGGUUGGUGGUAACCUAGUGUCAUUAGUAUAAGUGUGGUCUGUUUCUGUUAUGAAGUAAAUACCAUCCUUCUUGCUUAAGCCAGUACCAUUUGUCUGUGAUAUGUGGUGAUGAAGAAGAAGAUAUGUUUGUGAUGCCUCUGGAAAGGCAGUGAUAAUGCAAAUUGGAUUGGCAGAUCACGAGAAAACAUGUUUAUCUGAACAGAAAAGACCUAAAGAGUUAAGGGGGAAUAUGUAUACGAAUAUGGUUGUCUGAUAUACUUCUAAUUUUGUAUUUUGGGGACAAGGCUGGCAUAAGGAUGGGUUGUAUGUGUCAUGUUUAGUUGGGGGAUAGUAAUCAACCAUGUGAUGUGUAAGUUGGCGUGUUGGAUAUGUUUGUAGUUUGUAAAUGCCAUUGGGUGUAUGAUGAUCAUACUGUAUAGACCUUUCUAAAAGGUUUGGUAAUAUUUUAAGUACGAAUGUGUAUGACUUGUAUGUGCUCUCUUUUUAUCUAAUAACUCACUAAGUUCGUAUGAACUUACUCGGUUAUCUUUCCUUCUCAGGCAUGCCAUUUGAUUUAUUUUAUAUCAUGCAUGAACUUUUGGGGGUGGCAUGCAAUUAUAAUUUGAAAUUAACUUGUAUAAUGAUUUACUUCUUUUGUUAAGAUAAUUUUUUCUAAGAAUAUUUAUAAACCAUUGAUGCUUAUAUUUAAUCUAAUACAUAUAUCUUGUUCUAUGAGAUCGCCUCUGUGAUCAUAUACCCCAAAUGUUUUUAACCGUUAUCUUAACUAACAAUGAUGUACAUUGAAACUUUUGUAAAGGGAAUAACUUUGUCAAUUUUCAUACGGCUUCUGCUAAAUAUUUUAUUUUAAAUGCUAAUUUCAUGUAAUAUAAAUAAUUUCAUUGUUUUGUCAUUGUCAUAUUUUGAACUAUACUAAUAACUGUAAUUUUAAAUAAAUUUCUAAUAACUUUAUUAAAUUCAUAGAAUUUUUAAUUGUGCAUACUAUAUUAAUAUCCAAUUAUCGGGUUGAGUAAGGUCUGUUACAAGUUUUGGUAUCAGAACUAGGUUAAGCCAAUUCUUCGAAAUACCAAAGGUUGUGUCAAGCCCCACCAUGCAUGAUAUAUCUUUGGCUUAGUCCCUGUAAUUUGAACUAAUCUUAACUUUAUUGUAAUGUUCAUAAAAAUGUCUGAAGGAUUGGGAGAAGUGACUAGGAGGAGAUAGAAAGCCAUGUGCCUUUUAUUCAGGAGCAAACUCCUACAACUAGUUUGGAAGUAGUUGGUAAUGCUUUUUGAAAUGUCUUCUUCACUAUGCUGACCUACAUGUUCGACCAGUUUAUGGGGGCAGCAAAAGCACCCUAACCACAACAACCACAAUUGGAAGUGGUAUGACCAGUACCUCAUGCACUUCUUAGAGCAAUUAAAACUCAACCUAAAGGUGACCUUGUGAAGGAGAUAACAAAAAGAGGUGUUAACUAAUUUUUGGAAUAUAAAGGUGAUGAACCUACAGUAUCGGAGCAGUGGCAAUCACAAGUUUGUUGAGUAAUUAAUGAGUUGAAGUGCACACUAGAAAAUAGUCUUCUAUGUGUAGUUUCUUUGCUAGAAAGAAAUAAUAUCAAUGGUGAGAGACUUUGAUUAAUGUAACCCCGAGGAGUUGAUAGGUUGGGAUUACUUUUUGGAAAAAAUUUAAAGAAAAACAUGUGAAUCAAAUCUAUGUGGAACAAAUGAAUAAGGAAUUUAUGUAUCUUAAGCACGGAAAAAUGUCCAUGAUGGAGUAUAAACGUGAGAUGUGUGAAAAUUUUUAAUAGGGCUUAAGAGAUGAGAUUCACGCAGUAGUGGCGGCCUCAGAGUGUCAAAGCUUAGUAGCCAUGACAGCUAAGGCUCAUAAAAUGGAAACAAUUGUUCGAGAUAUGAGAAUAAGCUUUGAAAGAGAAAGAAUGAAGCGCGGAAUGUCUAAUCCUCCACCUCCAUCAAAUUUUAAAAAGCUAAGAGGUAAGAAUUUUUCUUCAUCAAAGAGGGAUUCAGAACCUAUGAGUUUCCGGUAUGAUGGAAAUAGUAGGCAAACUACUUCGAUGGCAAGUUCAGGUGUAUCUAGAAUAAAGAGAAAUUCUAAUUGUGAGCACUAUGGAAGAAAUCAAGAAGGGGAAUACUAGAGGCGUUGUGGAGCUUACUUUGGAUGUGGAUAUUUGGACCAUCAGAUUAGAGAUUGUCUUUUCAAGGUUGAGGUGAGUACAUAACAAUCUGUUCCUAGGCCCAAAAAAUUUUAAUAGGAAGCAAGAUAUGGUGUAGCAGUAAAGUUUGGAUCGGUUCAGGGGACUCUAAGGAAAAGCUACACCAAGCCUAGCUCUGGAGUAUCCACCAAAGCAUAUGUAAUGAAGGCUAAAGAAGAUGAUAAUUUUCCAAAAGUCAUAAUGGGUAAAUUUUAUUUCCUUGAAAACAAUAUUUAUGCAUUAAUAGAUCUCGGGUCAACCCAUUCUUAUAUCUAUACUAAAUUCGUAGAGGGAUUGAGUCUUGAUGUUGUCUAUUUUGAGACCAAUGUGUUAGUAACUAAUCCUCUGGGCAAAAUAUUAUGGUUAAUAAGAUGAUUAAGAACUACUUGUUGGUUUUCAGAAAGUACACUUUCUUAUCGAACUUGUUAUUGUUAAAUUUCCAUGAGUUUGAUGCUAUUCUAGGGCUAGACUGGUUAACCAGGCACAAUGCUAUAGUAGAUUGCCAUGCUAAGGGUGUGCAUUGGUUAAUUGUAGAGGGCAAAGAAGUAAUGAUGUCUAGCAUUUAGACCAGUUUGGCGAGUAGGAUAAUUUCUCCGGUAUCCACCAGAAAAUUGUUGGUUAAGGGUGCAGAUGCUUACUUAGCAUACAUUAUGGAUUCAUCUGAAUUAAGAAAGGAUAUUAGCCAAGUUCCAAUUGUAAGAAAAUUUUCAAAUGUGUUUCUAGUAGAGCUUCUAGGAAUGCCACCAAUUAGAGAGGUAGAGUAUUCAAAUGAAUUAGAGCCUAGGGCAGUGCCGAUCUCCUGUACUCCUUAUAGAAUGGCUUCGCUAGAAUUGAAAGAGGUUAAGACACAGUUUUAAGAUCUGUUAGAAAAGGGAUUUAUAUGCCCAAGUGUUUCACCAUAGGGUGCACCAAUUCUGUUUGUAAAUAAGAAAAAUGAGACAUUUCUCUUGUGUAUUGAUUAUCGCCAAUUGAAUAAGGUAACUAUGAAGAAUAAAUAUCUACUACCUCGAACUAAAGAUUUGUUUGAUUUGUUGAGUGGAGCUACAAUUCUUUUCGAAGAUUGAUUUGUGUUUUGGUUACUAUUAAGUGAAGAUAAGAGGUAUGAUUUUCUGAAGACUGCAUUUUGCUCAUGGUAUGACUAUUAUGAAUUCUAGGUGAUGCCUUUUGGCUUAAUGAAUGUGAAUCCAGUCUUCAAGGAUUUGAUGAACAUAGUGUUUCAACAUUUUUUGGAUCAGUUUGUGGCAGUCUUCAUUAAUGACAUUCUAGUAUACUCGAGAAAUGUGGUUGAUCAUGAGGAGAACUGAAGGUAUAGAGCCCUUAGUGCAAGCUAUGAUUAGUGCUUUUCAUCGAGCUGCUAGUGCCAACAUUGCACCGAUGAAUUAUGGAUUGCCUCUGGAGAGUUCGAGGAGCUGAUCCUACAAAAGCUGAGUAUUGGCUUGAGGUCAUUGAGAAAAUCCUUAAGCAGAUGGUAUGUUUUGACCAAGAGAAUUUAGGAUGCACUGUGUCAUUACUCAUCGACAAAGCUGAUCACUAUUGAAAUACCAUGAAGCAAGGAACUGCUACGGACUAGUUGUCAUGGGAAUUUUUCUUGGGAACUUUCAAGAAAAAGUUCAUGGGAGAGCAAUAUUUGGAAGCUCGCAAGUGCAAGUUUAUCAAUCUGUUACUAGGCGAGCUAUUAGUGGCUAAGUAUGAGUUAGUACACAUCAAAUAUUGUCUCGCAAGGGACGGAUCAUUGUCAAAGGUUUCAUUUUGGUUUGCAUCGUGAUAUCAUACUAUACCUUGUAACUCAUUAUGCUUUGAAAUUUGACGGGUUGGUUGACAAAGACGAAGAUGUUGAGGAGAUUAAGGCUCCAUGAACUGAAACUAGAGCUGGGAAGCAAGUAUUUGGGCGAGUGUCUAAGAGGGAUUACUACUCGUGAAAUUUUGGUAGGAAUGUUAAGCAAAGCUUUAGGUCAGAUCGCCCGUGAUAGAGGAGCCACAACCAGGAUAGAAAGAAGGGUACGCGCAUGUCUACGAGCUUGCCUUAUUGCGACCACUGUGAGUGAAGACAUCCUAGGGAAUCUCGAAAGAUGACUAGAGGCCUCGUAUGAGUUUAUACCAUACGGGAACCUCAUGAGCAAGGUGCCAUUGAUGUCAUUAUAGGUAUCUUCACUGUGCAAACUAUACCCUUUUUUUUCCUUAACAGACUCUUGUUCUACAUUGUAAUGCCUCAACUGACUCGAGUCAUCAGGUUUGAAUCUCGGGUGUCACAAAACAAAACUUAAUCAUGUAACAAAAAUAUUUUAAAAUUUUUUACUUCUUUAAAACAUGUUCUAUGGCAUUUCAAUUGAAAAACUUCUUAUGUGAAAACAAGGGAAGUAUCUUACAAUAGUUUGUUAUAGAAAUCUUGAUACUAAUCCUUACAAAAUAGAAGUUUAUCAAAAAUAGACUUGAAAGGUCAUAUUCCUAGACUAUGCCACAAUUCCAAUAUAUGAAUAAUAGUUCGCUUCAGCACAAACUUGGUGCUCCUGGCAUUGUCCCAUCAGGCGAAGUCUCUUCUCAAAAACUUGAAAAGAAAUAACCAAUUUUGUAAGUACAAGAGUACUUAGUGAGCUCAUUAAUGAUACCUUGAUGGAUUCAGAUGAUACCAUACAGUUUUAUCAUUCCCGUAUAUGCCAGUUAUCAUACAUUUAUCAUACUUAAUCAUUCAUAUCUAGUUACCUGAGGAAUCCUUACCAUAGUUUCAUAAAUUUCUUGUCCCAUGAUACUUUCUUAAUAGAACAUACCCUCAGAAAACACUUCAAACAAUCCAUGCCUCAACCCAUACUCUUAAUUUUCACUGACCUUUAUUAUGGGUGGAUACUCAUAUAUGUUUGGCGAAUACUUAUGCAGAAUUUAAUACCAUCAAUUCACACCCAGACAACCCCUAAUUUAGUACCACAUAUAUUCAUACUAAUAAAUCAUUGUAUAAACCAUUCAAUUGCACUCCACAUCAUUCUAUAUCAUAAUCCUAUAGUUCAAGAUAACAUUAACUCAAAAUCAAAAUAAUUUUAGAAGAAGAUACAAUACCACUCACGUUUCAUGCUUGCAUGUCAAAAUGACGAAUACCCUUCUUAACAUACGUACAUACAUCUCUUUUCACGAAAACCCUUGAAACUUAUUUGCUCUUAACUUGAAACAUAUCGACACCAUAUCUUAGUCUUACUUAUUAUAGAACUAAAUAAUUUACUCAAAUCUUACAAUAGAGACAGACAUUCAGAUUCAUAUCUUACCAGACAUCCCUGACAAUUUAUGCCACACAGGCAAUAAUAUAGAGUACACCAAAAAUGCAGUUCUUAGUUGUCGUGUUUACGAUAUGGAUUUGCCUAAACUCACAUUACAUAAGGUUUUCCCAUCAUUGCUAUGGGACAUAUAGAAAACCCCAUUGGGUAAUUAUAAUUCAUUAGUUCCUUUUCAAAUGGUGCCUUGGCAAUGGACUUUUUCUUCAGAGUUUCAUAUCAGACUUCGUGCUUUCUGUCCCAACAUACUUCAUCAGAUACCACUGUGGUGACCAGAUACAAACUCACUUUACAGACUCUUUAGGAACUAAAACAAUCUAGGCCAACACUUUAACUCCCCAACGUACACCUUAAAGAACACACAUCUCAUAGUAUACAUUCUAGACAUAUGUAUUUAGCCAUACUUCAACAUCACAGUAGUCAUACAAUAGCCAUCACAUAUUUUGAACUUAUGAUAUUCCAUACAAAUUAUACAUACUAUCCUUAGCAGACAUUCAUACACUCACAAGUAUUCUCAACUAAUCACUCAUAUAUUAGCAUACAUAUCUGGUAACACUUGAAAAGAUUUAUACUUCAAGCCUCUAGAUUGAAUUAAUUAUUUGUAAUUAAGUAAAUAUGUUUGCAUUUUUAGAUAUUUUUAGAACAUUGCACAACAAAGCUUGGAUUGUGCUAUAAAUGUUAUUAUUUGUAACUUUUAUUAUUGGGGAAGAAAGGUGCUGGUUAUGGUUGGUAGCAGGUGCAGGAUGAAGAAGAGAAGAGAAAAAAAAAGAGUAGGAAAAUGAAAGAAGUGAAAUACUGCGAAGGAAAAAUUUUGGUUAGAUUGCCAACAAAUGCCAUGGAAAUUUCAGGAAGAUGAUGUAGCACUCAGUCCACGUCACUCUCAGCUAACUAGACUUGUACCAGAUAAAUCACCCUAAAAAAGAGGAAGCAAAAGGUGUAUGCUAAGAGAGAUGGCCUACCAUAUAAAGAAGAAAAGAGAAAAAAGAAAAAAAUCUGAGGAAGAGAGAGAAGAUUUAGAAAAUAGUUUUUUUUCUCUCUGCAUCAAGUUCUCAUGAAAAAUCUCAGAGAAAAAGAGGAGAGGGUAACAGCUUAUAGAGCAGAAGAAUUACAGACGCAAAGAAGGGCAAGAGAAAUAUGCCCUAGGUUUUACUUCAAAUCUUAUUAUUAGAGUGAAAGCUAAAGUAGCGAAACCUUCCUGCUACUCUGCCUUUAUUUUCUUAUUUAAACUUUUUGGUUUAUAAACUUAAAUGACGAAGUUGAAUUAUUUUGUUUUGGAUUUGAAUGUUCAAACCAUGAGCGAAAUCUCAUUGGGUCGGAAUUAUUUGGUGAAUUUUUGUUAUCUUUAAUGCCCAUGGUUUGAUUCUGCGUAGAGUACUGCUUCAUUUGAUUUGUGAUUAUUUUAAAUGCAUGCAUGAAAGCUCUAGACAUAGAUCACUGUAUGGUAUGUUAUUAGAUCUGAUUUAAUUCUAGAAAGAUUAAAUAGAUUGGAUUAUUAUCGGCUGAUACGGGUAAGUAUCUGAAAGAAUAUUUACAACACUUUAGACGUAGAAGUUGUCAUUUGUACAGGUAAAGGAAGAACAAUCUAGAUAUCAUUCUUGAGUUCUGUAGACAUAUAAAAACUCAGAAUGAUAGCUCAAAGUCUGGCUUUCAAAAGAAGCAGACUGUAGUAGUGAGUCCUUGAGCAGUAAAAUGGUCAAGAUUUUUCCAUGGCAUUAUUCUGAUAUAAAAAUAAGCUUGGGUAAUUCUAACAUUUAUCGUUCAACAUUACAAACACAUUCCCACUUAUUCUUUGAGAAUUGCCACAACAUUUUAAUUGCCCUAGCAUAUUUUCAUUCAUAAUUGAUUUUAUUAAUCCAUUCAUUAAAUUUAUUUAUCAAUUUCUCAUCUUUUUAUUUUGCACAAUGUAAUUAGUCAAUUUCAUAGUAAUAGCAUAACUAAUUAUUUUAAUCAAUUUUGGUAUCUGUGGAGACGAUACUCACUCAUCACUUUAUUACUUGAUUCGACGUGUAUACUUGCACAUUCGCAUUAUAAAUUCAUAUGCGACAAAUUUUUGGCGCCAUUAUCGGGGAUCAACAAUUUCAGUGAACAAUUUGGUGUGUUAUUACCUCUUUAAUUUUAUUAGUUUAGCUUAAUAUGUUGUUUUGAUUUUUUUUGUUUUUUAGGAUUUUUUGUUGGUGCAUGAGUAGAGAUAUUUCAGCAAUUGAAGAGUAUUCUUUUGAUCCAAAAUUGAGAGAACCUUGAGAAUGAAAAGAAAAUAAUUGUGAGAAAUGGAAAGAAUUAGAAAUGAUCAGGUUAGAGAAGAGUCAUUACAUCAGGAAGGAAGGGAUGCUAAUAUUCCUCGAGUAAUAGAUGACAGAGAUAGACCCAUUAGCGAACAUGUAGUGCCGAUUUUAAAGGAUCUGAAUCCAGGAAUUGUCAUGCCAUAUAUUUAGGCUCAACAUUUCGAGUUAAAGCUGGUGAUGUUUCAAAUGUUACAAACUGUAGGGCAGUUUAGUGUAUUGCCUACUGAGGAUCCACGGUUGCACUUAAAACUCUUUUUGGAAGUCUGCGAUUCAUUCAUGCAGCAGGAUGUUCUUGAAGAUACCUUAAAAUGAAAGUUAUUCCCUUAUUCAUUGCGAGAUCAUGCCAGAGCAUGGUUAAAUGCAUUGACGUUGGGUACGGUGGCAUCUUGGAAUGAACUUUGUUAGAGGUUUCUGUUAAGAUAUAAUCCUCUGAACAUGAAUGCUAAACUGAGGAAUGGUAUUACAUAAUUUUGGCAAUCUAAGGAUGAAACGUUAUAUGAAGCAUAGGAGUGAUUCAAGGAGUUAAUUAGAAAAUUCCUGAUGCAUGGUUUUCAACAUUGGACACAAAUGGAAAUGUUUUAAAAUGGAUUGAAUGCGCAUACAAUGGUGGUGGUUGACACAUCUGCCAAUAGGACUUUGCUUGAUAAAUCAUAUAAUGAGGCAUAUAAAAUUCUUGAGAGGAUAGGAAACAACGAUUAUCAAUACCCUACUACUAGAGUAGGGACUGGCAGAGGAGUUUCUGGAGCAAUGGAACUUGAUGCGAUCACUUUCCUAACAACCCAGGUAUCAUCUUGAACAAAUAUGAUUAAAACAUUAGAAAGACCACUUGCAGUGCAGGAAAUAAAACCAGCCAAGUUAGCAUGUGCUUAUUGUGGAGAAGAUCAUGUUUUUGAUAAAUGCCAAUCGGAUCUAACCUUAGUUUAUUAUAUAAGAAAUUUUAAUUACAACAACAACAACCUAUAUUCCAACAGAUAUAAACCAUGGUGAAAUCAAUAUCCCAACUUUAGUUGGAGUAAUCUAGGGGUGAGAAAUUCCAAUAAUGCUAUUCGAUAAAAUAUUACGGGUGCACCACCUGGAUACAAUCAACUCAUGCCACGGUAAAAUGUUCCACAAAAUUCAGCUUCGAGUUCUUCAUCGAUGGAAGACCUAUUGAAGGAAUAUGUGGCUAAGAAUGAUGAUAUCAUUCAAAGUCAAGCUGCAUCUUGAAGAGCUUUAUAGAAUCAAGUAAGGCAAAUUGUGAAAGCAUUAAGCUUAAGACUACAAGGAGCACUGCCAAGUGAUAUUGAAAAUUCGCGAUCUCAGGGAAAGGAACAAUGUAAAGCCGUUACACUCAGAAGUGGUACACAACUAUCAGGAGUUGUUAAUGACACCACUAUUUAAGAACAUAGUUCAGAUUUCACAAAUAAGAAGAAUUCAGAAUCGAUAGCGGAGUAGGCUACAAAAGAAAUGAGUAACCAGAAAAAUGUUGAACCAAAUUCAUCUUGUGUUGCCAAUAAAAAUACCAUGGCAAAACAACCUCAAAAAAUUAAAGGAAAGCCACCGCAACCUUUUCCUUAGCCUUUCCAAAAAUCUAAGCAAUAUUUUCAAUUUAAGAAAUUCUUGAAUGUCUUGAAGCAAUUACAUAUCAACAUGCCGUUGGUGGAAGCAUUGGAACAAAUGUUCAACUAUGUGAAAUUCAUGAAAGGUAUCUAAUCAAAGAAGAGAAUGUUAGGGGAGUUCGAAACCGUUGCUCUCACGGAAGGAUGCACAACAAUGCUGAGAAACAAAUUACAACCAAAUCUGAAAGAUCCUCCUAUGUUGGAAUAGAAGCCUUUGCCAACACAUCUGAAGUAUGCUUUCUUGGGAGAUAACAUCCAUUGCUAGUAAUUAUUUAUAUUGCAUUGACAUUAGGUCAAGAAGCUCAAUCAUUGAAUGUUUUAAAGAAAUCUAAGAAAACAUUAUAAUGGAUGCUUGCGGAUAUCAAAGGAAUCAGUCUAGCAAUCUGCAUGCAUAAGAUAUUACUAGAGAAUUGCCAUUGCAAAUCUAUCGAGCGAGCACGUAUAUGCAUUCAAAAGUAUCGAAGUACAAACAGGGGCGCAUAUGUGCAUUCAGGGGUACCGAAGUACAAAUAGGGGCACAUAUGUGCAUUCAGGGGUAUCGAAGUACAAACAGGGGCACGAUGUGCAUUCAGGGGUACCGAAGUACAAACAGGGGUACGUAUGUGCAUUCAGAGGGUACUGAAGUACAAACAGCAGCAUGUAUGUGCAUUUAAGGGUACCGAAGUAUAAACAGGGGCACGUGUGUGCAUUCAGGGGUAUCGAAGUAGAAAAAGGGGCACGUAUGUGCAUUCAAGCAAUAAUUAUAUUUAAACAGAUUAACUAAAGAACAAUGAUAUUAAAUUUCAAGUAGACUUUCAUUUACAUAUUGAAAUGCUACGAACUUGCCUAUGAUUUAAUUUCAGUCAACACACAAGGAUUAUUCUAUAAUUUUCCCCUUUCCUUAGUUAUUGUCUUUUUUAUUCAAGUCUUAAUCUAUAUAAUAAUUAAAUUCAAUUUAUUAAUCUCAUACACAUUUCACAUUUGUUUCAAUGCAUAUGACCUUUAACCUUUUAUUAAUCACACAUUUUCACUAAACUUUUACAUUUUUCACAAUUUAGUCCCUAUACCCAAAAUUUUCCAAUUUAACAAAUUUUUACAACUUCCCAAAGCUAAUCGAAUAUCCUUCCAAGCUAGGGCAACCCACAAUUAAUCAUUAAUUACUCAAUUUCCAUGAAAUUUUAAGUAUUUUGUCUAUUUACUCCAUUUUCUAAAAAUAUCAAAGAAACUAAUUAGUAAACUAAUCCAAAUAAAUAGCUAACACUUCAUCUCCAUCAAUUGACAUCUAAAAUAACAAGCAUUCAUCAAUGGCAAUAUCUAAAAUAUUUAACAGUUUCAAAAACGAAGCUAUGGGUUAGUUGAACCUAGUUGCAACGAUCUCAAAAACAUAGAAAUUACUAAAAAUGGGUAACAAAUUCUUACAAUGCAAGGGUUACAAGCUAGCCGAAACUCCAAACCCUUCAAUGGUGUUUUAUAACUCAACUUUUGAUCGAAAAAUCCACUAAGGAAGAAGAUGAAUGUUUUAUUUUAUUUGUUUUUUAUGAUAAAUUUAUUAAAUUACAUAUUUACCCUUUAAUUAAACAUAUAUUUUAGCUAAAUUCUAUCUUUAAACCAUCCAUAUUAAACAAGAAUAGUAUAAUUUCCAAUUAACUCAUUCCACGUAUAGGAUUUACACCACUUAAUCACUAUAAUUCAAUUAUAACUAGAUUUUUACAUCUAUUACAAUUUAAUCCUUUUUAUUAAAGUAACUAGGUAAACAUUAAAAUUUUUUCACCAAAAUUUAAUACGAAUCUAAUGUAAUUAUAUAAUCAUUAAUUAAACAAUUAAACAGGACUUGACCAAUCAAAAUUUGUGGUCCUAAAACCAUUGUUUCGUUACCACGGAAAAAUAGGAUAUUACAACUAUUCCCUCUAAAGGAAUUUUUGUCCUCGAAAAUCUUGCCAAAGAAAAGAUUUGGAUAGUGGGACUUCCACUACACCAAAAUAGGCUUUUAGCGGCAUUUUUAGUGGCGUUUGGGUAAAAAACGCCGCUAAAAAUCGAGCAUUAGCAGCGCUUUAAAUAAAACGCCGCUAAAGAUCGACCUUUCGGGGCUUUAGAGGCGUUUUUAUAAAAGCGCUGCUAAUGCUCUGGUCUUUAGCGGCGUUUUUGGAGAAGCGCCGCUAAUGCUCAGGGCUUUAGCGGCGUUUUUGGAGAAGCGCCGCUAAUGCUCUGGUCUUUAGCGGCGUUUCUGGGAAAGCGCCGCUAAAGCUCAGGUCUUUAGCGGCGUUUUUGGAAAAGCGCCGCUAAUGCUCUGGUCUUUAGCGGCGUUUUUGGAAAAGCGCCGCAAAAACAUUUUAUUUGUCUAAUUACUAUUUAAUUUGUUUAUUUAUAUUAAUUAAAAUUCUAUUUAUUUUUAAUUGAAUAUUUGUUAAAAAUGGAUAAAUUUGAAAUAAUGACACUUAGAAAUAAUUUGAAAUAAAAAAAUAGAAAAAUAUUUGUUAAAAAUGGAAAAUUUAAAAUACUAUAUUUUAAAAUAAUUUUAAAGUUUUUUGGGUACAUUACUGAGUGUUUUUUAUUUACAUAUUAAAUAAUUUCUUAUAUAAUCGUAAGAUAUAGUAUCAAUUUUAAAAAAUUGAAUUAAUUAUCUCUAUAGUUUAAGGUUUUUGGUUUAGGGUAUAUGAUUUAGAGUUUAAGGUUUAGGAGUUACUAUUUUAAGGUUUAUGGAUUAUGAGUUUAGGGGUUAUGGUUUACAGUUUAUGGUUUAAGAUUUAGGGUUUAAGGGUUGCAGUUUAUGGUUUAAUGUUAUAGAUUAAGGGUUGGGGUUUAAGGUUUAAGGGUUGAGGGUUAAGAGUUAGGGGUUUAGGAUUUAGGGUUUAGAUUAAUUAGUUUUUUAAAUUUAUAUAUUAAAUAAUUUCUUAUAUAAUUGUAAAAGAGAUAAUAUUAAAUUGAUAUAUUAAAAUUAUGAUUAUAGUUUAAAUUCUUUAUAAAUAAUUUAUAUAUUAAAUAAUUUAAUAUAUUAAAAUAAUGAUUAUAGUGUUCUUGGUACAUGAUUGAUUGUUUUUUAAUUUAUAUAAUCGUAAAAGAGAUAGUAUUAAUUUUAAAAUAUUGAAUUAAUUAUGAUUAUAGUUUAGGGUAUAUGGUGUAGGGUUUAAAGUUUAAGAGUUAUUAUUUUAAGGUUUAUGGGUUUAAGAAUCACGGUUUAUGGUUUAUUGUUUAAGGGUUGGGAUUUAAAGUUUAGGGGUUAGCAGUUUAGGGUUUAGAUUAAUUAGUAUUUUUUAAUUUAUAUAUUAAAUAAUUUCUUAUAUAAUUGUGAAAGAGAUAAUUUUAAUUUUAAUAUAUUAAAAUUAUGAUUAUAGUUUAAAUUAUUUAAGAGAUAAUCGAUAAAUUUUAUAUAUAUUAAAUGGUUUAGGAUUUAAGGUUUAUUUGAGAUUUAUUAAAUGAUGAAAUUUUAUACAAUCAAUUAAUGCUUUUAUAUUUAAAAAUUUUUAAUCUAAACCAUUUGAUAUAUUUAAAUAUUAGAUUUAAAAAAAUAAUAAAUAAAUAAAAUCACUUAACUAAUAAUUUUUAACAAAUAAAAUAAAAAAAUUUUAACAAAUAAAUAAAUAAAAUCACUAAAAAUAAGCAUUAGCAGCGCUUUUCGGAAAACGCCACUAAAAAUGAGCAUUAGUGGCGUUUUUAGAAAAGCGCCGCAAAAAAACUAGGCCCAACGACGUCGUUUUAUUAAGUUUUUGAGGCUUUAGCGGCGUUUUUGAAAAAGCGCCACAAAUGCUCUAUUUUUAGUGGCGUUUUUGAAAAAACGCCACAAAUACUAAUAUUUAUUCUAAACCAUUUGAUAUAUAAGCAAUAUCGGCGUUUUUUUUUUAAAACGCCACAAAAUUUAUUUUGCUUAAAAAAAAUUGGCGCUGCUUUUUUCCCCAAAUUUCCCCCUAAAACCCAAAAACUAAAAAAUCCCAAAUUCGCGCUGAUUUGUUCACAAAAUCCCAAUCGAAAAAAUUUAGAGGAGCAAAACGACGCGCUGCGAUUCCUCCCUCUGCGAUUCGAUUGUUAGCUUCUCCCACUCUAUUUUCACAGCGGAUGCACUGUUCUCAGCUCGUUAAAUCUAAUGGAAAGCGAUUGUUUCUCAUCGACACUUUAGCUUUGGUAAAUUACAAUGAUUCCUUCUUUUGUUUGAUUUUUGGAAUCUUGAAAAUAUCUGAAGACAUGGUGCUUAUACUUAUAGGUUAGGAGAUUAGAGGCGGAAGGUCUGCCUUCGAAGCAAGCCGAGGCAAUAACAGCAGCCAUGACUGAAAUUUUGAAUGACAGCUUAGAAAAUGUGUCUCUUUCAGUUGUUUCCAAUACUACUUGCUCAAUUCCUUCCCUUCCAUUUCAAUGAAAAAGAAUUCAACCAUGGUUUACCAUUCUAUUUAUUUAGAAAAAAAAAAGACAGAGGAAAUCAGGUAUAUUUAAUUGUUUAAUUUGGGUUACAAACUUUAUUUGUUUUUUAUAUGUUUAUCUCACAAAUUUUCUUUUAUCUGCUUUUUACAUGUUUAUCUCACAAAGUUCGGUUUAUCAAUUGUUUUACCUUCACUUUUUUAAUGUGUUUCAUGUGUUUAUCGGCUAAUUUUGCUUCUAUUUAUUAUUAUUUCCACUGAGAACAAAACUUGAGGGAUUCAUUUAUUAUUAUUAUUAUUAUUUGAUUCAUUGCACUGUGAUCUUUGGAUGGAAAACAAGUUUAAUCAGGGUGGCUUAGUGGUAAGGUUUAAUGGUUGCCCGUGAGAUUGAAUUAUUUAUGAUUAAUUCAUAUAUUUUUUUACCAGACAUCGUAGCGGGUUGUAUGGUAAAUAUGGAACUGUUGGUUUUCUUUUGGUACAUAUCUAUCGUUAUUUAAUAAAAAUGAUGAAAUUCAAUUCUUAUUUUGUUCUUCCCAAACUUUUAUCAUUUUCUUUUGUAAUUGUUCUUCCCAGAUUUGUUUAUAUUCUGAUAUGUAAUUUGGGGUCUUUUACAGGAUGCUGAAGAGUGUUGGACACAACUUUUAUACACCCUUUCUCAGUCUCUUCGAUCAGCUGGUUCUAGGUAGGUUUCUUGUUAUUUGUCAUUUAGAUAUACUGAGUUGUACUUAUUGGAAAAAUUUAAGCAAGUCCAUGGUGCCUUUAACAACUGAAACAACUGAAACAGUUUGAAGCUGUUGCUUUUGGUUUAUCAAACUUUUUCUUCAAAAUUAGGGAUCUCUUAUUUGGAGCAGUGUUACCUUGCAUAGUUCUUUUGCCACUGCAAUGCUUCUCUAGCAUAUAUAUUUCUAAUUUAGCAGCAAACAUCUCUUUUAGAAAAAAAUUCUAAUCUCUCGCUGUCUUUUUUUUUCUUUCUAUAGUGAAAAUAUAGAUACUGUAAAGGACCUUAUUGGUAUUGACCUUGCAAGCAGGUAGAUAUCUACAGAUUUGAUAGUCAUUUUUUUUCUUUUUAAUAAUGAUGACAUUACCUAGUUAGACAAUUUAUAUAUGCUGAUGCCAUUUUCUAUAACUGUUGAAGAAUUGUUGCUGCUAUUCAAAUUUUCAAAUACCACUAGUGCCGUUCAUGUAAGAAAUACAUGUAAAAGUAUAUCAUCUUUAUACCGAGGGAAAAGAUAAAGAAUUUCAAAUUUCAACUAGUCUAAACAAGCAAAACCAGAACAUCCUUCUACUUAUGCCUACAUUGAUAUAGUUUAUGCAGUUUUUAAGUUCAAAUCUGUAUUCCUUUUUGUCCUAGCCACUGUUCCAUGCAGUUUUCGUUACAAAUUAAUGAUUCAUCCUUCUGUAGCUUCAUUGGCUUCCAAAUGAAGAAUACUAUUUCUAAUCGUUAACGCAUUUAUUGUUAACAUGAGUUAAUAAUAUUUCUGUAUUUUGGGUGUUUGGUUGAUGAGAAAAUAUAAGAAAAUUUGGUAAAAGAUUUUUGAUGAGAAAAAAAUUAUAAAUUUAUAAUUGUUAACUAGUAGAAAAAAAAUUUAUAAUUGUUAACUAGUAGAUUGAGCUAGGUAAUGGUGGUGGUGCUAAUUUGCCUGCAAUCAAAGAGAAGUUUGGUCAGUACAUGGUGAGUAGGUGCUCCACCUUUACGGCGUAAACAUGUUUACAAUGCAUGUAAGAAAUAAUUUGCUACUCUUUUCCUUAUCUUUGUAUGUUCUACAGUGUAUCUCCUAUUUUAAUUUCAUCUAAAGCUGUCAUUUAAUUUGCAUUAUAGAGACCAAAUGUUCGAUUCUUUUGUUAUUAUACAUUAAUGAAUAAUUGGUUUAUUGACUACUCUAAGCUUGUCAGAUUGGGAUGCAGUGAAUAGGAUUAAUGAUUAUUUGUUUAUAUAGGAGGUAGAAGGGAUUGUGUGUUGGCUAUUGUAGCUGGUUUGCGGUAAGAAAUGACUCCUAUUUCUAUUUUAUGGUACCUGGAAUGGUUUAAUACUUCACUGUCUAUAAUAUUUCACUUGGGUAAAAUAAUUAGGUGGAAUUUCUUUAUUAAGGUUUUUAUGUCUCGUCUAUGCUUGAUAAUUUCUGACGAAUAAACUUGAAAACCUGAUGAAUUGAAUGUACGGAAGUAUCAUAUGCUUCAGUUUAUACAUGAUUCUCUUUUCAUGCUAACGUCAACUUAUGCAAUUUAAGAUUGUGAUACCCCCUUAAAUUUUGCUAAUUAGUCUCUUUAUGAAAUGAUUUCUGAUAUUGUCAAUGUUAUUUUCUAUUUAGGAAAUUGUGUUUUGUUAGUUAAUUUAAGAAGAAUGAGAUUAGAGAAGUGCUGGUUUUGUUCCUCCACUGUAUAUCCGGGGCAUGGUAUUCAAUUUGUUCGCAACGAUGCCAAGGUAGGAGUUUCUUUCUUACUUUUACAUGUAUUCAAAGGUUAUAUUACUUUACUACUCUUAAAGGUUCUUCGCUUUUGUUUGUUUCUAUUUAGUUAUUAUCCAUAUUGGCUUAUCAUGGUACACAUUUGGUUUGAUUCUAUGGAGUUGGCCUUUGGUUUGUCCAGAAGUCGCCUUUCUGUCUUUCUCAUCCAUUUUUUAGUUACUCUCGUUGCAGUAUUUUUCUUUUUUGUUGCAUUUCUCUAUGUAGUGGCCUAAAAUUUGAUACUUGGUAUGUGUUUAUGCUUGGCAGUGUUCAGAUACAUGCAGUUUUCAGCAACAUUUAUGCCAGAUUGAGGGCAUCAAUUAAAAUAAUUUAUAGUACUAUGUUCCCUACAUGUCAUUCGUGCUGUUUGCAUUGAUUUUAAUUUCUGAUGGCCCAAACAUUUGCAGAUUUUCCGUUUCUGUAGAUCGAAAUGCCACAAGAACUUCAAGAUGAAGAGGAAUCCCCGUAAAGUAAAAUGGACCAAGGCCUAUAGGCGUUUGCAUGGAAAGGACAUGACACAUGUGAUAGACCUAAGGCAUUGAUUUUGGACUUUUUAUUGCAUUAUUACAAUGCUUAUACCAAAACACUGCAUGAUUUCUAUUUCUUUUCUUUUUGCACCAGGAUUCAACAUUUGAGUUUGAGAGAAAACGUAAUAGGCCGGAGAGAUAUGAUAGAAACCUUGCAGAGAAUACUCUGAAGGCCAUUAAAAAGAUUGAUAAAAUCAGAUCAGACAGGGCAUCUGACCACAUCAAAAACAGGUUGGUUUGUGGUGCUUUCAGUUCCCAUUGAAAGAUAUUAUAACAUGCACUUUAGUAAAUAAUAACCCUUCCAUUUUUAAAUCUUUUUCCAGGCUUAAGACAGGCAAAGUCCAGAGGCAGAAAGAAGCAAGGAAGCAAUUGGAGCAGGGCAUUCACUUGGUCAAAGCUCCGCAUGCACUUGCACAAGAUUCAUCUCUUUGUCUUCCAAAAAUCAAAGUCAAUGUGUCCCAAGCACAGACAGAAGAGAAUCAGCCCAUGGAAGAGUGAAAUUGGUUCUCCUGUUCCUCGGCUUGGUAUUUUUGUCCACCAAAAUCUUAUGCAUGCAACUUGUGGCUUAAGUUAUCAAGAGGUUUUUUAUGUUGUGUCUAGCGGUCCAGAAUUUUGAUUAGCAUGUUCAAAUGUUAUUGUUUUGAGUAGCAUAUUUUGUAGUCACUAAUUAUGGAAAAGUCAUUAAAAACGGAUUACCUUUGUUUUUCCCUUUUAAAUGUGGUGUUGAAUAUCUAGACUAAUAAUUUCUGGGGAUAGUUUAAGAAUCUUAAAUUUUAUAGAAAGCCAAUAAAGUGCUUGCUGGACGAAAUGUGGUGAUUAAUUGAAUUGCAAGGUCAUACAUGCCGAUAAAUUUUUUAAUAGCUGAUAAAUGAGUAUGACAUCGUGCUCAUAAAUUUUCUAAGAAGGAUGUCUUUAGAUGAAUGGAAUUGUUUGAUAGCUUGAGGUUAUAAAUCUUUGUAUUGAUUUUUCUCAACAAUCUGAAGCCUGUCAUACUUAGCAAAUUUUUCUGUGAGAAUGGGUGUUUAAGAAUUGUGAAUUGUCUUGAAAUAUAUGCAGUUGUGAUGGUUGAUAUAUUAUCAAGCAUGCAAUAUAUAUCACUGUCAUGAAAGGUUUUUAUAGGAAAUAUUUGAAAUCGGUACGAAUUUAUAUUCCUGUUACAUGGAAAUAUAUAUUUAGCUUUAAAGUUAAAAUUUUAAUAGAAAUUUUAAUUUAAUUAAUAUUUUUAUCCUUAAAAACAAAACAAAACAUAAUAUAAUAAUUAUCAUACAAAUAAAUAUUAUUUAAUUAAAAUAUUUUUUCAAAAGCCAUGUUUUAGCGGCGUUUGUUAAAAAGCGCCGCUAAAACUCAUCUUCAUUGUGGCGUUUGUUGUUUAAGGGUCGCUAAAGGUCAUGGUCUUUAGCGGCAUUUUUAGGAAAAGCGUCGCUAAAGGUCAUGGUCUUUAGCGGCGUUUGUGGGAAAAGCGCCGCUAAAGGUCAUGGUCUUUAGCGGCGGUUGUAGUAAAAGCGCCGCUAAAGGUCAUGACCUUUAGCGGCGUUUGUGGGAAAGCGCCGCUAAAGGUCAUGACCUUUAGCGGCGCUUUUGGAAAAAACGCCGCUAAAGUUAUCGACGCAGUCAUUAGCGGCGUUUUUUGUGACGCUUUUCAAAGCGCCGCUAAAGGCCUAAAAAGUGCCGCUAAAAGCCUGUUUUGGUGUAGUGUUCAUAUUUUCUUCUAUUUCCCACUUCGCCUUUUUAAGCCCAUGAUGUUGCCAUAAUACUUCAACUAAUGGUAUAGAGUUAUUUCUCAGCUAUUUUGUUUCUCGAGCUGAGAUACUUAUAGGUUCUUCAUUGUAAGUUAAAUUUGUUUGGACAUUAAUUUCUUUUGUAGACAAAAUAUGUGAUAGAUCAUAUCGGUAUUGUCGAAGCAUGGAACCAUGAAAAACAUUAUGAGUUCUGUCAAGUUCUGGUGGUAAGGCUAAAUGGUAAGCUACCGGUCCUAUUCUUUCAAGAACUUCAUAUCGCUCGAUGAAUCUAAGACUGAGCUUCCCUUUUUUGCCAAAUCAUAAUAUUUUCUUCUAGGGCGAGACUUUCAAAAAUACAUUUUCGCCUACAGAGAACUCGAUAUUUCUCCUUUUUAGAUCAACAUAAGACUUUUGAUGGUCGGAUAUAGAUUUCACUUUAUCUUGAAUAAUUCUAACUUUUUCUUCGAUUUCUCGAGCCAAAUCAACCCGGCUAACUUCUUCUCAUUCAAUUCAGACCAAUACAAUGAACUUCUACAUUUACGUCUGUACAAAGCCUCAUAUGUAGCCAUCUUUAUGCUUUCUUGAUAACUAUUAUUAUACGCAAAUUUAGCUAAUGGCAAAUAAUUUUUCCCAGCUGCACUCGAAUUCAAUGAUAGAACACCGCAACAUAUCUUCUAAAACUUGAAUGCCUCACUCCGACUGACUAUAUUAGCUUUCCUAGGAUGAUAGUAAAUUACCAAAUCAUAAUCUUUUAAUAAUUCAAGGCACCUACGCUGACACAAAUUCAAUUCUUUUUGAGUCAUAAGUAUUUUAAACUUUAAUGAUUAGUUAAAAUAUGACAUUUCUCCCCCUAAAAAUAAUGUUGCCAGAUCUUCAUAGCGAAAAUAAUUGCAGCUAACUCCAAAUCGUGUGUCGGGUAAUAUCGCUCAUGAGGUUUCAAUUACCUGGAAGCAUAGGAGAUUACAUUUCCACUUUGCAUCAAAACACAUCCUAAACUACAAGAGACGCAUCACUAUAAACAAUAUAUUCUUUCCCAGAUUUAGGCUGAAUCAAAACAGGAGCUUCGACUAAAAUAUUCUUCAACUGCUCAAAACUUUUCUUGCAUUUUUCAGUCUAAACAUAACUAACAUCUUUUUGCAGCAGUUUAGUCAUCGGAGAUGCUAUAAUGGAGAAGCUUUUAACAAAAUGCCGAUAGUAUCCGACUAAUCCCAAGAAACUUCGAACUUCAGAAACACUCUUCAGAAUUUUCCAAUCAACGAUCGCAAAUAAUUUAUUCGGAUCAACCCUAAUUCCAUCACCAGAUAUAACGUGUCCUAGAAAACCAACUUCUAAUAACCAAAAUCCAUAUUUAUUGAAUUUCGCAUAAAGUUGUUUUUCACGUAAAGUUUGCAUCACAACUCUUAAAUGUUUGACAUGAUCUGACUCGUUUAAUGAAUAAAUCAGGAUAUCAUAAAUGAAUACCACAACAAACCUAUCGAAAUAUGUAUAAGACCUUUAACCCCUAUCCGUCGCUGAAAUAAGGUUACGAAGCAUUACCAUAAAAACAUAACUUAAAACAUUCAUUGUCCAAACAUUUUAUACAUCUUAGUAAAAUCCAUUCAAAUAUAUGCAUAUAGUACCUUAUUCGAGCCCUCGAGGCCUUAGAAUCACUUUAGAAUCAAUUCAGAACUAAAUCAGACACAUUUAAAAUUUUAUGGAAAAAGAUAGAAAAUUUCACACUAGAGGGGUCACAUGGCCGUGUGACUCACACGGCUGAGACACAUGCCCAUGUCUUAGGUUUUGUGGGCAUUCGAAGUAGGGACACACAGCCGUGUCCCAGCCUGAGUCCAUGCCCGUGCAACUCUCUGACUUGGGUCACACGACCAAGCCACAUGCCCGUGUGCUAGGCCAUAUGAUAGGUCGUGUAACUGCCUGACUUGCAACAGUUUGAAACUUAUAGAGGACACACAAUCGUGGCACACGCCCGUGUGGUAAGCUGUGUGGACAAGAAAUAAGCCAUUUUCAUGCCAUUUCUUUCAUCCAAAUCAAGCUCACACCUACAAACCAUUUGCACAUACAAUCAACCUUCAAAACAUACUAAAACAUGCGUAAUAGGACUAAUUCAAUAUGGUAUUUAUCUAUAAAGACAAUAUGCCAAAAGGCACCUCAAUCACAAUUCAUCAAAUUAACCAAAACAUAAACACAUUUGGCAUAAAUCAACUACACACAACUACUUAUUUCCAUAUCAUGUCAUAGCUUAAUUUAUCAUGUACCAAAACACAACCAAACAUACCAAAUUGGUCAUCCAACUUAUGCUUUUACUUGACUAUUUCAACACGAACCAUUUAAGCACGAAAAUACCAAAAGUCCAACAACCAUAUUACCAAAUAUAUACAUGCCAAACAUAACCACUAGAUCAUUAAUACAAGUCCACCUAUGCAUGCCAUUAUAACCAUAACCAAAACAUCAAAAGCUACCGAAAUAGUCGUUGGAUAGUGUGAUAGGUCUCUGACGAGGUUCCAAACCGAACGAGCUUUCGAUUAUCUAUAAAACAUGGGAAAGGAGACCAUGUAAGCAUAUAAUUCUUAGUAAGUUCGUAUAACAUAAAACACAACUUACCAUUUCAUUUCAUAACAUUAAAAUGUAACAUGGCAUAAUUCAACCUUUAGCUUGUCACAAGCCUAAACACCAACACAAACAUGUUAGCAUACUUGAACAGAAUUCAUAUGAAUUUAACAUGGAUAACCAUUAUACUUCAGCAUGAUUCAAUUGGAUUUAUCAUCCAUCAUAACAUAAUAUGUUUUCCAUAUAGCUGAUCAUAUCAAUGUAUUUCAUACAUACAUGUCUUGGUUCAUAAUGAACAGUUACCAUAUCCUUUCAAAUUUAUUCCCAUUGAACCAUUUAGAAUUUCAUCGGAUACACAAGAUAUCUCAUACGAAGUGUGCUAAACAUAUAAUCAUAAUCUUUCAUUUCUUUUACAUCGUUGCUCACAUGAGUUGUGAAAUGGACCUGCUCACACAAGCUGUGAAAUGGGCCCUCUUCACACAAGCUGUGGGUCGGAAUGUAAGCUACACGAUGCUGCUCACACGAGUUGUGGAGCAUUUGCAACACAUGUCGUACCUCAACCACUGGUAGAACAUUCAAGACCAGCAUUUGAAACAUGGCAACCCUAAUGAUUGUCAUUUGUAUCCUACGAAUUCCUAAGGUUCAAACAUGGUUGGAUAGUCGUCGAAACAAUCGUUGGGUUUGUAUUAAUCAUUACAUAACAAUCCAAAAUUCACAUAUAGCUCAAAAGAUGGCAUUAAAACAUUAUGCAAUUACACGAACUUACCUCGACGAUAAAGGCGUAAAAAUAGAGUCGACUAAUUCGAAGCUUUUUUUACCCUAAUCUAAAGUCGUACGAGGUCUAUCUUGAUCUGAAUAAAUAAAUUAAAUCUAUUUAAUAACCAUUCUAUCCAAUUCAAUCCAAAUUCUUACUUUUUAAAAAUUACGCUUUUGCCCUUAUUAUUUUGAUUUCUUUACAACUUAGUUCUUAAGCUCGUAAAUUGAUAUUCAUGCAAUUUCAUCCCUACCAAAGCUAGCUGAAUUCAAUAUAGGUCCAUAGCAACUCAUACAAUACAUGAUUUCACAAUUUUCACUAUGUAUUUUACAUAUUUUAUAGUUAAAUUCGUAUUUGACAUUUUCAACAAAAUUCACUUUACAAAAGUUGUUCAUUUAUCAACAAACAUGCAUUUUCUUCCAUCAAACAUCAAAAAUCACAUGAACACAUUCAUGGCAAAACCAUAUCCUUUUAACAAUUUUCCAAAUUAGUCCUUAGGCUACUAGAUUGAGUUACAAUGACUUUAAAAACAUAGAAAUCAUUAAAAACGGGAUGAAAAAUACUUACAUGCAAGAGGAAGGCAUGACUGAAUAUCCAAGCUCCUUCAAUGGAGUUUUCCUAACCUAAUUUUCGGUGGUAUUUUAACUAAAGAAGAUGAUAUCUUCAAAAUUUCAUUUUUACCUUAUUUAUUUAUUAAUUUACAAUUAGAACCUUAGUACAAAACAUUAAAAUCACUUAAAAAUAUCCACAUAAUUGUCCACCCACAAUCAAAAUUUUUUAAUUACCAAUUAAAUACUUUAACCAUUUAAUUUCAUAGCCAUUUAAUACCUUAAACUUAUAGAACUCUAAUUUUGCACCUUUAACGAUUUAGUCCUUUUCACCAAAUUAAACAUGCAAAUGUCGAAAUUUUUGAAAAACAUUUUUAUACGACACUACUAUCAUAUCGUAGACUUUAAAAUAAUAUUAAAAUAAAUAUUUUCACGUCAAAUUUUUGGUCCUGAAAUCCCUAUUUUGAUUUCACUAAAAAUUGAUUGUUACAAAAUGGCUGAAAUACUUGAUUCAUCAAGUCCAAGAAUACCGCAGGAGCAUUAGUCAAACCAAAUGACAUCACUAGAAAUUUGUAGUGACCAUAUCUAGUUCUAAAUGUAGGUUUUAGUACAUCUUGCUCUUUAACUCGUAGCUAAAAAAUCUAGAUCUCAAGUCAAUCCUCGAAAACACUGUAGCUCCUUUUAACGGAUCGAUCAAAUCAUCAAUACGAGGUAACGAGUAUUUAUUCUUAAUGGUGGCUCUAUUCAACUAUCGGUAAUGUAUACAUAGCCUCAUUGGCCCAUCUUUCAUCUUCACGAACAAAACUAGAGCACCCUAAGGUGAUACACUCGGUCGAAUAAAUUCGCGAUCUAACAACUCUUGCAAUGGUACUUUUAAAUUUUUCAAUUCUGUAAUGGCCAUCCUAUAUGGUUUUAUCAAAAUUGGAGUUGUUCCAGGCACAAGUUCAAUAACAAAUUUUACUUCUCGAAUCAGUGACAACCCAAACAAUUCUUUUGGAAAAAAUCAUCAUAUUCUUUGACUAUCGGCACUUGCUUGAGUUUUGAUUCAACCACUUUCGAAUCAAGAACAUAGGCUAAAUAAGCUUCACGUGCUUUUUUAAUCAAUUUUUGAGCUGACAAUGCUGAAACUACAUUUGUAGUACAAUUGGCCACAUCUGCCCUAACAUAAAUAAAUUCAUCAUCCGGACGCUUCUAACUAACUUGUUUCCUUCUGCAACUCACUAUUGCAUCAUGCUCAGACAACUAAUCCAUUCCUAAAAUGAGAUCAAAAUUAUCAAAAGGUAACAACAUCAAACUAGCGAGGAAAUCGUAACCCCUAACUUCAAUGGACACGAUUUACAAAUCUAAUUAACUAAAACAUACUAACCCAAUAGGUUCGUUACUUUUACAAAUCAUAACCCCUAACUUCAAUGGACACGAUAGGCAAAUUCUUUUUGUCUACUAAUGCAGUGCAUGUAUACGAGUGAAUUGAUCUAGUAUCAAUCAAUGCAUAUACAUUAAUAUCAAAGAGAGAAAAAAUACCAGCAAUAACAUCGAGGGUAGUAGCUUCCUUACGAGCUUUGCUUGAAUAGGCUCUAGCUGGUGUUCUUGCUUUAGAUUGUUCAUUCAUAUCACUAUUCUUUCCUCGACUAGAAGUAGUAUUUCUACCAUUUCCUGAUCGUCUAGCUCUCUGUGAGGUUGCUUUAGGCUUGUUUAUUUGAUCACCAAAAUCAUUUUACCUUUGGGAGAAUCACGAAGGAAAUGAUCAGUAGAUCCACAAUGGAAACAAACUCGCAAAUUUGAUCGAUAUUCACCACAAUGCCUCUUGUUACAAUCAUCGCAAAUAGGAAUGUUUCUCUCAACAUUCCUCACACUUCCGACACUUGCCGCUAGAGAAUUAACGAACUUAAAAUUACUUUGCCUCAGUUUAUCUCUGCUAAUGAACUCUGAAGGGGUAGCCGAUUGACUUGUGUCAUUUCUAAAUUUCUUUGAUGGAGAAAUUUGAGAUGACUUAAACAACCCACUUUUGUUAAAAUCUCGAAAUUUCAAAUUUGGUUUUCGUUUACUCUUGUAAAUUUAUUCAAUUUUUUAGGCUCGUUCAGAAAUUUCUUCAAAUUCUCAUAAGUUUAAUGUUGCCACAAACAUACAAAUAUCAUCAAUUAACCCGCCUUCAAAUCUAAUACACAUUUAUUAUUCAUUAGACACUAUAUUAUGGGCAUACUAGCUUAACUGCACAAAUUCCCGUUCAUACUCAGCUACAGACCGUUUCCUCUGUUUUAAUUCAAGAAAUUCAUCCUUUUUCUUGAAUUCAAUCUGAAAGUAAUCCUAAUUAAUGUGAUCAUUUGAUGUCUUCGUGUUCAAAGUGUCCCACCAUAAGUAUGCUUCAUCUUUUAGCAACAACAUAACACACGUCAAACAAUCUUCGGGAGUGCACAUCAAUUCCACGAAGACUCCCUUCGUAUUCAUUAAACAGUACUCGGCUUUUGCAAAAUCAUCAUCAACGUUGCCUCUAAAUUCUUCCACUCCACAUUUUCGAAUUUUAUCUACAAAUAUUCAAGUAACUAUCACAGGUGCAUGAUUUGGAGGACCCAAGGGUGCCAGAGAAGGCACAAUAGGGGGUGGAGGUACCGGAGUUGCAAGAUUUGUUUGCUUAAAUUCAUUGAAUCAUUGGUUCAUAAUCCCAAGAACCACAUUUCUCAUUUCAUCACCAAAGGAUUGUGGAAUCGAUGCAUUAUUACUUGGUUCAGGAUUCGAAGCUUGAACAUUACUUUCAGCUUUGUUAACUAUAGCCCGAUUUGACUCAGCUGAUAUCUUGAAUCAAUAAGAAAAUACAAUAUUAGAAUGGAUCAAAAGCAUCACACUAUCACAGGGUAUAUAUGACAUGUCUAUACUAAACUCUACUCUACUGCGUUAGUCUUAGAAUCGACUAAACCGUAGCUCUAAUACCACUAAAUAUAACACGCUUAACCCACCUCCGUCACCGAAAUUGGGUCAUAGAGCAUUACUAAUCAAUCAUAAAAUGUUUAACAUCAUAACACUAAAUAAAUCAAUCUCAUUCAGAACAUAUCAAAUAUAUGCAUUUGGUAUCUAAAUCGAGCCUUCAUGGCCCUAAAAAUAUCUUAGAAGCAAUUUAGGACUAAUUUGAAACAAAAUAGAUUUUUAAGAAAAAGUUACAAAAAUGUCAAAACAAGGGACACAUGGCUGUGUGGCCAGGUUGUGUGACAUAGCCCAGGCCGUGUAACCAUCGAACAAGGGACACACAGCUGUGCCCCAGCCCGUGUUACUCACUGAGUUGGGUCACACGGUUAUGUCGUAGGCCGUGUAACUCUCUGACUUGCCACACACGGUCAUGUGCCAGGCCGUGUGCUAAGCCGUGUAACGCACUAACGUAAAACACUAGGAAUUCACAAAUGACACACGAUCGUGUCACCAACCCAUGUGCUCCAAAUUUGACCCAAAAAUCAUGCCAUUUUAAGACCAAAACAUACCUGUUAAACCCAUUCAAUAGACCUAGGCAUCAUCCCAACACAUCUAGACAUGCCAAAUCAAUCAACCUAUUUCAUCUAACCAGUAUGCCAUUCAAAGGCACCACAUAUAUACCAAACAUUUAGGCUAAAAAAUAAUCGAAAGACCUCCUUUAUAAGACAUUAUGCAAUAAAGCAUUACACUAUGAUUGUAAUCACUUCAUUCAAAAACUAAAUAUCAAAGUGUUCAUCUAUGCAUUAUAUAUGUAUACUUGUUUCAUCAAUACAAAACAUACCCUAAGCAAAUCACAAAUUUCACUCAUGAACUACAUCUAUCAACAUUUAUAAAACGAAUAUUUAUCUAUAUAUACAUACCACUACCCAAAAGAUAUAAAAACUACAACUUAGAUGGAUGGUGUGAGUCGAUUGGUUGAUCCUUCUAGAAAAUCACCAACAAUUAUCUACAAAACAACCCAAAAAAAAACUCGUAAGCUUACAUAGCUUAGUAAGGACAUAGUAUAAUUUUUAAUCUAAAUAUAAUUAGGCACUAUUCACAUAUUAUUUUAUUAUUGAAAAUUUCAAGAACACAAAUGAUGAAAUGAUGAGACAAUAUAAUGUUCUCGGAGGUAGCAUAAUACAAUCAUGAGCACGUAUAUGCAUUCAGAGGUAUCAAAGUACAAACAGGGGCACAUAUGUGCAUUCAGGCAUACUGAAGUGCAAACAGGGGCAUGUAUGUGAGUUCAGGGAUAUCGGAGUACAAACAGUGGCACGUAUGUGCAUUCAGGGAUAUCGAAGUAAAAACAGGGGCACAUAUGUGCAUUCAGGUAAUAGUUAUAUUUAAACAUAUCAACUAAAGAACAAUGAUAUAAAAUAUCUUGUAGAAUUUCAUUUACUAUUGAAAUUCUAUGAACUUACCUACGAUUUAUUUCCAGUCAACACGCAAGGACUAUUCUAUAAUUUUCUCAUUUCCUCGAUUAUUGUCUUUUUUAUUCAAGUCUUGAUCUAUAUAAUAAUUAAAUUCAAUAUAGUAAUCUCAUAUACAUUUCAAAUUUUAUUCAACGCAGAUGACCCUUAACCUUUCAUUAAUCACACAUUUUCCCUAAACUUUUACAUGUUUUACAAUUUAGUCCCCAUACCCAUAAUUUUCCAAUUUAACAAUUUUUACAGCUUUCGAAAUGUAACCAAAUACCUUUCCAAGCUAUGGCAACCCACCAUUAAUCAUCAAUUACGCAAUUUCCAUGAAAUUUUAAGUAUUUAUUCUAUUUACUCCAAUUUCUAAAAACCAUUAACGAAACCAUUUAGUAAAUUGAUCCAAAUAAACAACUAACACUUCAACUCCAUCAAAUAACUUCUAAAAUAACAAUGUUUCAUUAAUGGCAAUAUCUAAAAUCUUUAAAAGUUUCAAAAACGAAGUUAUGAGUUUGUUGGACCUAGUUGCAAAAAUCUCAAAAACAUAGAAAUUACUAAAAACAGGUAACAAAUUCUUACCAUGCAAGGGAACCCUUCAAUGGUGUUUUCCAAUUAAACUUUCGGUGGAAAAGUCCACUAAGGAAGAAGAUGAAUGUUUUAUUUUAUUUGUUUCUUAAGUUAAAAUUAUUAAAUUGCAUAUUUACCCUUUAAUUAAACAUAUAUAUUAGCUAAAUUCUAUCCUUAAACCAUCCAUAUUAAACAAGAAUGGUAUAAUUUCCAAUUAAACCAUUCCACUUAUAGGAUUUACACCACUUAAUCACUAUAAUUCAAUUAUAACUAGAUUUUACAUCUAUUACAAUUUAAUCCUUUUUUCUUAAAUUAACCAGGUAAACAUUAAAAUUUCUUCACCAAAAUUUAAUACGACUCUAAUGUAACUAUAUAAUCAUUAAUUAAAUAAUAAAAAAUAAUUUUACCAAUCAAAAUUUGUGGUUCCGAAACCACUAUUUUGUUACCACUUAAAAAUGGGAUUUACAAGAACAAUCAUGAAUCUCCUUAAGAAUAAUCUUCCCAACAUUGAUAGACUUUUUUGCUGUAAUUGCAUACAACAAAAGUAUUCGCUCCAUCGAGAUGGUGGAACUAUGUGAGAUAGGCAUGAAACUAUAUCGAACAAAGUAAAACCAUACCUUAGCCAACAGCUUUAGAUAUUCCUUUUGACAAGAAGGACUACCAUACUUUCUUAUAAUCCAUUGGGAUCCAAGAUUUGUUACAACAUUAAGCACUUAUUGAAGAAAAUCUCAAUUUAAAUUUGUCAACAUGGCCAAAUAUUCACCUUCUUCUACAUCAGGUAAGUUAAAAAAAUCAUUAAUGCGCUUAAAAGUUAGGGGUACCUUCUUCUUGCGAACAAGAACUUUCAGUAACAUACAACUUACACUACACCAAAACAGGUUUUUAGCGGCGCCUUUUUAGGCCUUUAAGCGCCACUAAAAGUAUUUGCGGCGCUUUCUGAAGCGCCGCAAAAAACGCCGCUAUUGACAACGUUGCUAACAUUUACGACAUUUUUAGAAAUAAACGCCGCUAAAAGUCAUGACCUUUAGCGGCGCUUUUCUCGCAAACGCCGCUAUAGACCGCGACCUCUGGCAGCGCUUUUCCUGAAAACGCCGCUAUAGACCACGACCUUUAGCGGCGCUUUUCCCACAAACACCGCUAUAGACCACGACCUUUUACGACGCUUUUCCCACAAACGCCGCUAUAGACCACGACCUUUAGCAGCGCUUUUCCCACAAACGCUGCUAUAAACCACGACCUUUAGCGGCGCUUUUGCCACAAACGCCGCUAUAGACCAUGACCUUUAGCGGCGCUUUUCCCACAAAUGCCGCUAAAGAUCAUGACCUUUAGCAGCGCUUUUUAUCACAAACGCCGGUAAAGAACAAACCUUUAGCGGCGCUUCUCGCAAAAAUGCCGCUAAAAACAUAACCUUUAAAAAAAUUAUUUUAAUCAAAUAAUAUUUAUUUUUAUGAUAAAUAUUAUAUUAUGUUUUAUUUUUAAAAUUUGAACUUUAAAUAUACUUUUUAAGGAUAAAUAAAAAAAUAUUAUUUAAAUUAAAUUUUCUAUGAAAAUUUUAACUUUAAAAUUAAAUAUAAAAAUUAAUGAAAUUAGUUUUAGAAUUUAAAAUAAUAAAUUAAUAAAACAAUUAUAAAUAUUAAAGUAAAAAUAAAAAUUUAGAAUCAAAACUAAAAUAAAUAAUACAUAUGAAAAACAGACUAGCUAGCUAAACCUGCCUAUGACUAUACACAUUGCAAGGUAAUAAAAAAUACAAUGGAUUAAAUUGUUGAACCUGCCCAGGUACUAUCUGACAGCAGAAUACACAUUAAAUUGUUGGCUUAAACAUGUAGAUUACAUACAAAUGUAGACCAAAAUAUUUUCCUUUUCCUUCUACCCUUAAAUCUAGAGAUAGCAAAAACCAGGGACCAAACACUAGGAAGUUAAAAUAUAUCGCUAAAAGAAACACAGCUUUAGCUCCAUCCAAAUGUACUUUCAAUUCUCAUUUCAAAUUCUGCUUCAAUAUAUUGGAUGAAUUUCCCCACUGCAUGAUGUUAGGUGAUCAAACAGAGUACUUUAAAACUGCAAAAGUAAGAAGCAAGCAUCCUCACUUGAUAAUCUGAAGGGUUGUAUUCCUCACCAGUUGGUCCUCUAAAAGGAAGCGGCUUAGCUUUAGGUUUCUCUAAAGAGAAAACAAUAGGAAUUCUACCCUCAAUCCCAUGAUCUUUCCUUAAACGGUGUCUCACCUAGAAGCAAAAUUUUGAAAAAGAGUAAAGUGAAUGAUAGCAUGAAAUAAACCCCUAAACAAUGGAAAGAUAGCUCAAAUGUAGGUUUUUGCUGCAAGUUACACAGACAGUAACGAAAAAUUAAACACCACACAUAAAAUUUAUCAAACUAGUUAAGAAAUACAUGGUACAGCCAUGCAGUAUAAAUACAAUAGAAUCAUAGGGUAAUUUUCCAUAAAUAUCUUCAGAGUACCAAGAACAAUUUGUCACAAAAUUAUAAAACAUGAUCAAAACAAAAAAGAACAGGUAGCAGACACACUAUUUGUUACUUUUUGUUUUGCUUCCAAGGCUUCCUCAGCUGCCUUCAUCUUCGCAACAGAAUCAUCUUCAUCAUCCCUGAUUAAGAAAACAAAGAACCUAUUAUUAAACAAUUUAGAACUUGAAAAAGAAAAGAACCAUGUUACUCGAACUUAGGUAUGAGUGUUAGGUGUCAGUAUAAAGACAUGUCAGAUAUGGGUAUGAAGGCAUGUCUGAGAUAAGUAUGUUCAAUUUUUUUUCAAGUUUUCCCACAUCCAUGGGUUCCGGACACUGGUACUUAAAUCAUAAAGAGUCGGAAUAAAAAGCAUAACCAUAAUAAUAAAGUACGAACCUAAAAGAGAAAGUACAUUCAACAACAUAUUUUUCUUGAAAUUCCAUAGAAGCAAGAUAGCAAAUCAUGUGGCAACUCUUAUCAUAUAAAAAAUAGAGGAACUAAUAGAUCAUAAAACUAUAAAGACAGCUAAGGGCAAAAGUGGACAUUAGAACCAAAACCAACAAAAUAAAGGCACUAAUAUAAUAACUUAAACUUUUAGGUUCAAUGAUUCUUUGACAUCAACAAAAUUAAUAAUACAAUUUCUAUAUGUUAAGAAACAUCCUGGCUGAAGGUUAAAAAUUAAAUAUUUUUAAAAAAUCAAUAAAUCAUCAAUUGAAUUACAACUAAAAUUCUUGCAUCUUUAUAAGUAAAAAAGGCCAUACCUAGCUAUAGCAGAAAGUUGACUCUCAUCUUCACUGACAUUCAUAAGCUUUGCAAGUGCAAAAACUGCAUCAAACCCAAAACCAUUAGUCCUAUAAACUGUAUUAAACAACAAAGUAAAAAAUAAAAAGAAGGUUAAAGGUUCUGCACAAGGCUAACUAAAUUUAUUCCACUGCAUAGCAUGGUUUGUAUUAACUUCAUUGAUUAGAUUCAAAGAACAACAUAUAAUUAGUAACUAACUGAAUUUAUUUCUUAAACACGGAAAGCAACAUUUAAUAUGGCAAAUCUGUUAAAGGAUAGAGUAAGUAAUACUUGGUAAGAAUGAAUUCAGUGAUGAAAUGGCACUGAAACACCCUCAACUGGCAUGCUAAUUCCAAAGAAUAAAUUCAAGACUCUAAAACCCACCUGGUAUGCUAAUUCUCUAGUGUGACAUAGAACAACUGCAGCAACUUGCCCAGCAACAGGCUCAAUUUGCUGAAGAGUUGAUAGAACAAAAACAGCUGUUUUCCCCAUUCUAGAUUUUGCUUGGCAAAGCACAUCCAUUCCCAGAAUAGCUUGAGGGAUGCACUCGUGUUGCACUAAUGAAAAGAAAAUAAAACCAUAGUAGUCGAACCCUCAGUAAAUUAUAAAUGUUCUUCUUGAUCCUUUAAUGGAAAGAUUACCAAACCAGUUAUCGUGUCGUAAUGAUGAAUAUAGAUAUCGUGAUUACCUGAAUAAUACAAGCUUGAACAAGUCAGAAUCAAAGAACAACCAAACCAGAUCAAGUGAAUCAUGCAAUGCAGAUGAAGCAUAUUCAUAUAUAAAUUGUAUGUUCAGCCGUAGGCAAGUCCAAUUAACUUAGAAUAAAUGAAUUAUUAAAAUUUUUAUUAAAAAUAGUAUAUAUAUAAACAAAAAAAAAGAGUUUAAAUGAACAGUUUGAAUCAACAGAAAAGAAAAGCUAUGAUAAUUUUGAAGACUUUCAUGCCUAGAUAAAUUAAGUUGAAAAAAUAUAAUUUCAAGGCAAAGUAUUUCAAAGAUUACUACAAAGCAUAUCCUAUAACAACAAAUGCUUCGUCCAAAAUAGUAAAUCAAAAUAAUAAAGCACCAAACUUGUAUACUGCCCACCAUUAUAAGUCACUAAAAGCAAGAAAAACAAAAAUGACUUAAUUCACGAAAUUCACAAAUGUUAACAUCAGACAUGAGUUUAAAACUUUGCCUUCGGAAGGAUGUUCAAAACCAGAAUCCACAAUAGAUCGAAGCAGCUCCGGUUUCAGUAGAAAGUCUCUAAAUCCUGAACUAUGAAUUCCAACAUACCCCCUACACCACAUAAAAAGAAAUGAAACAAAUUAAAAUUAAAUUGCUUUACACUAAAACUAGCAGAUUAUAUUAGAACAUUGUUUUCCUUAAAAAUAUGUAUAAAUUAAAAUGACUAACUUCUUAGCAGAAUCAACAGCCUUAGUGGAGGCAGAGUCAGGGGCUUUUUCAUAUUCUUCUUCGUAGUCGAGAAGCUCUUCCUCGUAGGCGUCGUUGUCCUUUAUCUCCCCUAUUCCAAUCAACCAAUAAAAUGAAACAAAAUAAUAACGAAUUCAUAGUUGGGAAAGGGAUAUAAUUUCCAUUAUACCUAAUCUCCCUUCUCAGCUUCUUGUUUAUCUCCUUCAACAUCCUGUAAUUUUCUUCCAUUCCCUGCAAAAAUACACACAAAAAUGGAAUAAAGAACAAAAACAAACAGAACCCCACAAAGCUUAAAAACUAAAUUGUAAACCACCUGGAGAGAAAAAGAAAAGGUUUAGGGAUUUGAAUGGUAUUACGAGAUGUUGGGGCAAAGGAACUCAUGGAUUUUGAGAUUAAAAGGGAAAAAGAAUUAAGUACAAACCUUUAUUUGGGGUAUUUAGGGUGCGUGAUGGAGAUGAGAAGAAGAGGGAGUAACGAGCGGGUAACCAAAUUUUUUUUUGUUAGGAGUGAGCGGGAUUUUGAAUAUUUUUUUCGGCGUUUUUACCUUUUGCGACGUUUUUUAUAAAAGCGUCACAAAAAAUCAUUUCAUUUUGUACAAAAUGACGCCGUUUUGCUAUGCUAAAAAUCUUAUAUUUUUUCUGCUAAAAAUUAUUUUAAAGUAAAAUUAUUUUUGUGGUGUUUUUUUAUAAAAACACCGCUAUUGCUUACCUUUUGUGACAUUUUUCAUAAAAACGCCGCAAAAAAUUAUUUCAUUUUAAAUCUGUUAAAAAUUAUUAGUUAAGUGAUUUUAUAAAACAUUUAUUAUUAUUUUUUAUAAAUCUGUUAAAAAUAAAUAUCGUAUAUUUUAGAAAGAAAAAAAUGAUUAAAUGGCUGUAAUUAAUUAUUAAGUUAGAAUUAUCCAAUGUAAGCAAUUAAUCUCACACAUAUCAAAUUUCUAUUAAAGAUUGAGACGUUAAUCAUGAUUUUAUAUUAUUCAUUUAUGAUAUAAUCUCCAUUUUAUUAGAGAUAUUUCUUCCAAACUAAAAUAUAACUAUUUUGCUAGAUAUUAAUUUUUUUUAAUUUAAACAUCUAAUUUUGCGGUUAAAAUUAUCAAUGUAGCAAUUAGAAAAUGAUAAAAUAAUUUUGUAGUCUUUAAUGUUUGUAAUUUUUACUAAUUUGGUGUUUUCUUUAAAAGUAUAUAAAUAUUAUAAAAAUAAAAGUUUAAAAUCUUUUUAAAAUUUUUUAAAAAUUUUUAAAAAAUUUAAAAUCUUUUUAAAAUUUUUUAAAAAAUUUAAAAUCUUUUAAAAUUCAUUUUAAAAUUUUAAAUCACGAAAAAUAUAAAACCUUUCAAAAUUUAAAAAAGUAUAUGUUAUUUACUCUUUAAAUGAUAAUUAGAAAUGUUCACUACCCAUACAACCCACCUAGUCCAAAAUAUGGUUAGGCUUAGAUUUAUAUUUUUUAUCGUUUUUAAACAAUGAAAUGGGUGAUUCGGGUAAAACGAGCUUGAAGUUGGAAAAGUUUUUAAAAUUGGGCAUUGGUAACACCUAAUCCAUAAACCUUAAAAUGGUAACACCUAAACCUUAAACUCUAAGCCAUGUAUUGUAACAAUCAAAUCAUUAACGCUAAACCGUAAACCAUAAAAUCAAGCCCUAAAACAGUAAAUUUGAUCAUUAUCUUAUAAGUCGUAAAUACUAACUUCAUAUUAACACUAAAAUGUAAACUCUAAACCUUAAACCUAAACCCUAAACCUUGAACUCAAAAUUAUAAUCCUAAAAUAAUAAACAUUAUGAUGAUAUUUAUUCAUCAUUAUCCACUAACUCGACCCAAAUCCAAAUGCAAACCCUAACCUGCUCUGCUAAUUUUGUUUUCCCAACCCUAGACCUCAGCACUCGCCACUCACCCACCCUAACGAAGUACCCAACGUAAUUCGAUUAAUGAUUGCAAAUAUAAGAUAUUUGCUUUCUUUUGCAAUUGGGCUAUUCAGAUAAAUUAGACCUACUUGUCCACCACUACCACUAUACCGCCUAAAGCAACAUUCGGCUCUAGACUCGAGACCCAGCUAAUAGUUUUUGUUAUCAAGAAAAAACAAACAGCUUUUUCUUUUCGGGAGCAAAUCGUCCAACUAACCCCACCGACUCUACUAGCUAAAUUGAAUCCCAACUUCACUUAAUUAUUUUCUAAAAUUCAAUAUUUAAUAAAUUUUAUUUGAAUUUCAAUAUUUAUAAUAUUUUCCUAUAAUCCUUUCUUAGCCUAAAAAACCUAGUAUUAAUUUCUAGUGGGUAUUAGACCAAGUAACAGCCUCAUUUGUCCCUUUUCAUUCAUUUUCAGUUCUUACUAUUGAGUAGGUACUAUUAGGUCAUUGUUGUGUUCAUGUUUGAUUAACUAAAUAUAAAAUUAUUUUUGGUAAUAAAAUUAUCAAUAUAUAAUAUUAUUUAUCACAAUAUUUGGUGUUUUAUACUACUUUCUUUGAUUAUUUAUUGAGUCGAACUAUCAAAAAAAAUUUAUUCUAUUCUUUAUUCUUUACAACACAACAAUUUAAGUUUUAUGAUAUUUUAUUUUACUCAUAAUUUAAUAUAUUUUUCUAGUAAAGUAGUUUAAAUAAACCGUGAUUGAAAAAUAAUAAUAAAUAGUUAGGAGUUAGGACUUCUCUUUAAUAAAAACAUUUUGUAUUAAACAAUAUUAUUUGUAAUCAUUUAAAUGUAAAUUUGACCAAUAUAUAAUAAAUACAACGAAAUAUUAAUUUUUCAACUUAUAAUAAAAAAUAUAAUUGAAACAUUACUUGAGAAUAUAUCAAAGAAUGAGAUAAUUGAAAUGGUUUUAGAUUUUAUUAUUAGCGACGCUUUUUCAAAAACGCUGCUAAAACGCCGCUAAAGGUACGAGCAUUAGCGGCGCUUCUUCAAAAACACCGUUAAAGGUAUGAGCAUUAGCGGCGCUUUUUCAAAAACGCCGCUAAAUGCCCCAAAAGCUUUGAAAAUGGCAUCGUUGGGCUUAAGUUUUUUUGCGGCGCUUUUUGGAAAACGCCGCUAAUGCUUAUUUUUAGCGGCGUUUUCCAAAAUGAGCCGCUAAUGCUCGAUCUUUAGUGGCAUUUUUGUAAAAGUGUCGCUAAUGCUUGAUUUUUAGUGGUGUUUUUUGUCCAAACGCCGCUAAAAAUGCCGCUAAAAGCCUAUUUAGGUGUAGUGUUAGUCAAAUUAGCAAAGAAUUCUCGAACUAACUCUUUUUUGGGCAAUGAUUGCACAUCACAAAAAUAAUUACAAUGGAGGGCAUCAAUUGUCUUUCAAAUUGGCAAAGGCACAAACAUCUUAUCAUUGCUUUCCAAGUUGAAACCUUUUUCCAGCAUCAUAGGUUGAUUCUUGAAGAUUGAAUUAACACUUUCUUUCACUUCCACAUCUUGAAUCACAAUGGGAUUUUCGGUAGAGGUCUUGGAAGAUCUAGUUCUUUUGCAAGACAUAGUGAUUUUUCCCGAAAAAUAGGUAAAAUUUUGACAAUAAAAAGGGAAGAAAAGUCAAAAAUGGAUGAAACAAGGGAUUUGCGGAAAUGACAGGCUUGUGGUGUCAUAAAGCUUGUAGCGACAAUGCUAGGGUUUUGCGACAAGGAAAUGAUUUUUGGAAGAAAUUUGAGGAUUUAGGGUGACGACUAAGGGGAAAAAGAAUGAGUGGCUAGGGUUUAAGAUAAUUGCUUGAAGGGUUGUGAAAAUUAUGGUGGUAGAGAGGGGUUUAUAUAGUGGUGAAUUAGGGUUUUAGGGAACCCUUAUGGAUGACAUCAAUAGGUAAAGUUCUCCUUUCUUUGUUCAGGCUUUAAGUCUAAACUGUAUUUACAAACUGUUCAAAAAUAAAUAAACUAAUUAGUACUUGGGACAAUUUGACCCCCUUUAUUAAACAUAAACAAAUUGAAAUUAAAGACAAAGAUAAGAAUGAAAAUGAACAUAAAAAUAAAAAUAGAACUAAAAAUAAAUAUUUUAAAAUUAUUUAGAAAUUUUCUUCUAAAAAAAUCACAUUAAAUUAAUCCCUAGGAAAGGUUGGAGGGGUCACAACGGUCCUGCUUAAGUUCCAAUCUCCUUAGACAGAAUUAAUUAAAUUUACUAAUUUAAGAAAAUUAUUUCUAACUUUUUAUUAAAAAUUAGGUUUAUGAAAAAUUAAGGGUUAAAUAAUUUGAAUGAGGUUUUAAUUUGCUCAACUUCACCAUCCCAAUAGUGCUUGAGAUGAUGACCAUUAACUUUAAACGUACCUUCAUGGUUAUCGUACAAUUCUACAGCUCCAUAUGGAUUAAUUUUAUAGAUAGUAUAAGGUCCUUGCCUUUGGGACUUGAGUUUUCCAUGAAAUAACCUUAGCCUCGAAUUAAACAUCACUUUUUGACAUUCUUUGAAUUCAUGAGGUUGUAUACGACAAUCACGCCAUCAAUUAUAUUUUUCUUUACACAUCUCAGCAUUCUCGUAUGAAAAUAACCUUAACUCUUCCAACACAUCAAGUUGCAACAUCCUUCUCUUAUUGGCUUACUUAAGAUCCAAAUUCAAUCUCUUCAAAACCCAAUGAGCUUUUUUCUCUAAUUCAAUUGGCAAAUGAGAUGCCUUUCCAAAAACUAACCGAUAAGGAGUCAUUCCUAAUGGUGUCUUAAAAGCACUUCGAUAGGCCCAUAGUGCAUCAUCGAUUUUUUGAGACCAAUCUGUUCUAUUAGGGCGCACCACCCUCUCAAGAAUACAUUUGAUUUCAUGAUUCACCCUUUUAACUUGCCCAUUUCACUGUGGGUGAUAGGCAGUAGCAAUAUUAUGCUUCACAUAUUCUUGCCAAGCAACCACUUAAGCCACUUAUUUGCAAAGUAAGAUCCUUCAUCGCUAAUUAUAGCUUUAAGAGUCCAAAACUGUGUAAAUACGUGCUUAUGUAGGAAUCGCAUGACUAUCUUAGCAUCAUUAGUUGGGUAGGCCUUGGCUUCAACCAACUUGGAUACAUAGUCCACAACUACCAAAAUAUACUUAUUACCAUACGAAGAAGGAAACGGGGCCUAGAAAAUCAAUGCCCCAUACGUCGAAUAGGUCAACCUCUAGAAUGUUUGUCAAGGGCAUCUCGUUCCUUCUUAAUAUAUUUCUAGUUCUUUGCCAUCGAUCGUAGGCUUUCACAUAUACAUACGCAACCUUAAACACUGUAGGGCAAAAGAAUCCAGCUUGUAAAAUCUUUCAUGUUGUAUGGGAACCACCAAAGUGUUCCCCACUUGAAGAUGAAUGGAAGUGGUAUAGAAUUUCAUCAAUCUCACUUCCAGCUACGCACUUCUUGAUUAUGUUAUAUACACAUAGUUGAAACAAAUGCGGAUCCUCCCAAAAAUAGUACCAACUUUCAUGAAGGAAUUUCCUCCUUUGUUGGUACGUCAUUUCUUGAGGAAUUAUUCCACAUGCUAAAUAAUUGGCAAAAUCAGCAAACCAUGGUGUUUUAUAGAUUCAACUUACCUAAAAGAUAUGCUCAUCAGGAAAAUUCUCAUUAAUUGGAAUAAGUGAAUAAGUUACCUCAUUUUGUUCCAUCCUCGAUAGAUGAUCAAUUACUUAAUUUUUAAUGCCAUUUCUAUCUUGGAUCUCAAGGUCAAAUUCUUCGAGCAAAAGUAUCCAUCAAAUUUCCCUUGGUUUAGCAUCUUUCUUUGUAAGUAAGUACUAAUAGCCACAUGAUAGGUAAACACUGUAACUUUGGUACCUAUAAGAUAUGAACAGAACUUGUUAAAAAUAAAAACUAUAGAAAAGAGCUCCUUUUUAGUUACAGUAUAAUUAAUCUGGGCUGUUGUCAAAGUUCUGCUUGCAUAGUAGAUAGGGUGAAACACUUUGUUCCUUUUUUGACCCAUCACACCUCCAACAACGAAAUCACUUGCAUCACUCAUCAACUUAAAAGGUGAGUUCCAAUUAGGUGUAAUAAUUAUUGGGGCUGAAAUUAACUAAUUCUUUUAGUUUCUCAAAAGCUUCUAAACAUGUGUUGUUAAAAUAAAAAAACAAUAUAUUUUCUAAAAGUAUACAUAAAGGUUUAGAAAGUUUUGAAAAUCCUUAAUAAAUCUACGAUAAAAACCGAUAUGGCCUAAGAAACUUCAAACUCCAUUCACACUAACUGGGGUUGUAAUCUUUCAAUUACAUCCACCUUUUCUUUAUCCACUUCAAUUCCAUUCUUGGAAAUCUUAUAUCCUAAGACAAUUUCCUCCUUAACCAUAAAAUUACAUUUCUCCCAGUUAAGGACAAGAUUCGUCUCUUGGCGUAUUUUUAGUACCUUUUCCAAAUUACUCAAACAAACAUAAUAAGUGUUACCAAAAAUAGAAAAGUCAUCCACAGAGACCUUAACAUAAUUUUCAACCAUAUCAGUGAAAAUUGCCGUCAUACAUCGCUGGAAUACGGUAGGUGCAUUAUAUAAUCUGAAAGGCAAUCUCUAAAUGAAAAUGUAUCGUACGGACAUGUAAAAGUAGUUGUAUGUUGGUCUUUCGAGGCUACAACUAUUUGGUUGUAUCCCGAAUAUCCAUCUAAAAAGUAAUAAAAUUUAUUACCUACUAAUCGGUCUAACAUUUGAUCCCUAAGAGGAAAUGGAAAAUGAUCCUUUGUAACACCCCAUACCUGACCCAACUACCAGGUCAAGGUACCAAAAUAUCACAUUCGUUUUCAGAGCAACUACAAAUAAUUACAUAUCGAUUCAACUUCUUAUUCAAGUUUUUAAGCUCAUUACACAUUUAUAACAUGAUUUAUAAACAUUUUCGAGCUCUAUACAUGAAUUGAAAGCUCUUUUGAUGAUCAACAAUUGAUUAAGGACUAAAUUAUAAAGUUUCCAUCUAUCGGAUUGACGUCGUGAUGUUAAGGUGACCAGGUCACAAUGUCACUCACUGGUUAUGUCUCGUCACGACCUGAAGAAUUUGAUGUCACGACAUGUGUUCUGUUUCCAUGAAAUCAAUAUAUUUCAAUUCACAACACUUAAAACAAUGUCCAUAUAAAACCUUUCAACCAAUUCAACCAACAUACCAUUCAUAUAUACCUAUUUCCAACCUUAAACAUCACAUAAUUCAACUUAAGACUCAAUCAAAUAUAGCUAAGUUUGCAAAGUUAACAAGGUGCUCAAUGUAACACCCCAAAUCCGGUCUAAACGUUAUGACCGAAUCUAGCGAUGUCACAUUCUAACACCCCUUACCCGUAUUCAAUGCCGGAAUAGGGUACGAGGCAUUACCAGAACAUAUACACUUAUAAACAUGUUAAACUGAGUUAUAAAAUUUCAUUCAAAUUUAAACUCUUCAAAUUUUUAACAUGCUUUUAUAAAUUUUCACAUUAUAACUUCAAAAUACUAUAUUUGUAACAAAUAGGGCUUCUGAGACCCAAUACAUACUCAUGCAAUUAAAUACUUCAUUUCCACUUCAUUUAAUUCACGAUUCUCAUUUUCACGAUUCAAUUCAAUUUCUCAAUCCAAUAUACAUUUCAAUACCACAAUAAUUCAUUUAAUUCAAAUCAUAUCAUUUGCAAUUUCCAUUUAAUUCACGUACAAUUCAAUUUCAUUAAGUUCGAUACUAAUACAUAUUUAUCGUUUAACUUAACGUCCCAUUUUUGCAUCAUUUUACACUUCAAGCAUGAAUCUAGUAUUUCAUUUCCUUUCCACUCUCGUUUCCUAUGCAUAUCACACAAGAUAUAAACAUUACACUAAACCGUAGUCGCAAGCUAGCCUCUUUAAAGACUAACCACAUGAUAAACCAUUUUAAUAAUGAUUACAAACUUUAAACCUUACCACCCUUUUAUGAUCACAAGCAUAUUUUCAUCUAGACAUUUACCAUCUCAAUGUAUAAUUUUAUACAUUUAAUGUGGCGUAAUCCAGCCACAACUUGGCCAAAGCCUAAGCAUACACACCAAACGUGCUAGCCAAAUAAACAUAUAGUAUAAGCAUUAUAAGCAUGGAUAAGCACCUCAUUUAUUUAUGUAUCAAACUUAUCAACAUGAGUUAAUUCAUAAACCAUUUCUGACACUGCCACAUACCAAAUCAUAUACCAAGUAUACCACAUACACAUACUAUGAAACUUUAUUUUCUCACAUGAACUUUAACUAUAACUAAUAAUGCACAAUUAUAAACAUCAUUUCUUUUUAAUUAUUUAUCGAUUAUAAUCGAGCAUAUGGCCAAUUAUACACAAAUCAUUCAUAUGUUCUUCCAAUUUUCCUCCUCCUCCUCUCCAUUCCACAUCCUUAAUGUGUAUAACACACUUAAACAACAUUAGCUACAAUUUCACUAUUCACUCACAUGUAUAUUCAAAGCUAUCUAUUCGAGUCAGAGUCACUAAAUUAUUUUUACCCGGAGCUACAGAACUCCAAAUUAAGAUCCAUAAAUUUUCCCAAAACUAGAUUCACAUAUCCUCUUACCAUAAAAUUUUCAAAAUUUUUGGUGUAGCCAAAUAGUAUAGUUUAUUCUUUAAAUUUCCCCUGUUUCACUACUUGACAGUUCUGACCUCUCUUCAGUAAAAAAUAAUUAUCUCAUUGUAAAGAAUUCGAAUAUUGUUUUUUUUUUGUUUCUCUUGAAAAUAGAUUCAUUGAGCAUUCUAAAAAUAUAAACUUUAUCCCAUAAUUAUUUUUGUACAGUUUUUAGAAUUUUCAAAAAUUAGAACAGGGGAUUCUAAACUCAUUCUGACUCUGUCUAACUAAACUUCAAACAUCUCAAAAUAUAUAACUCAUUUGCUUGCUCUAUUUCUUUUAUGUGAAAAUAGGCUCAUUCAUAUUCAGUUUCAUAUAUUAUUCAGCCUCUAAUUCAAUCUCCACCAUUUUUGGUGAUUUUUCCAAUUCACACAAUUAUUGCUGUCUAAAUUGUUUUAUUGCUAAAUGUACUCUUUCAUAAUUUUACAUAGCACAUAGCAAUGACCUUAUUAAUCAAUGAUGUCCGGUGCAAUCAGCACAUAGCAACCACCUUACUAAUCAAUAAUGUUCGGUUCACAUAGUAGCCUGCACAUAGUACUACACACGUGAUCGAAACUAUCAGGUACGCAUAUAGCCUGCACAUAGUACUACACAUGCGACCUAUCAUUCUGGUACACGUAGUAGCCUGCACAUAGUACUACACACAUGACCAUCACUUUCACUUUUACAUAGUGGCGUACACAAUCCGUGCCACACAUGUGAUCAUUUCUGUCACUUCAUUUGUAUCCCUUUUUAUUCCAAAGGUUCAUUCGAGAAUUUUUCACUUUUUCUCACUUUUCUUUUUAUCGAUCAAUUUCAAUUUCUCAUCUUUCUUGAUUUAUAACAAUACAUUUAGCUUAUAUAACCUUCACACUAUUCAUUCCAGUCUAAAAAUCAUACUUUAUAACAAUUACAUUUUUGCCCCUAAAGUUUCACAAAAUUAUGAUUUUGGCCCUAGGCUCGUAAAAUAAUUUUUAUUCAAUUUCCUUGCAUUUUAGGCAUAGCUGAACCAUUUUCAUAACUAUAGCAGUCCACAAUACCCACUUAUUCACACACUUGUGACAUAUUUUAUAACUUUUACAAAUUAAUUCUUUUAGGCAUUUUCAUCGAAAAUUACUUAGUACAAAUCAUUUAUGACACUCCAAACAUUCAUAUUCUUCCAUAAAAAAUCAAAAUACAUGCAUAUCAUUCAUGGGUAAAUUUUUGAACACAAACCCUAGUUCAAAACAAUGGUAAAAAUAGGUAAAUCUUGUUACAAGGAUUUCAAAAACGUAAAAAUUAUUAAAGACAGGGAUAAAAUGGACUUACAAUCGAGCUUGGAAGCUUGAAAAACCAUAGCCAUGGUUUCUCCAUGCAAUUUUCGACCUAGGGGUUGAAGAUGGAUAAAAAUUGGCUUUUAAUUUUAAUUUUAAUUCAUUUUAAUAACUAAAUGACCAAAAUAUCCUUAAUGAAAAACUUUGGAAACAUGCCUAACCAUACUCAUUUUUGUCCACCAACUUAACCAAUGGUCUAAUUACCAUAUAAAGACCUCCAAUCUAAAAUUUCAUAACAAUUGGACACCUCUAUCAUAUAGAACUCAACUUUUUCACUUUUUACAAUUUAGUCCUUUUGACUAAAUUGGGUGCCCAAACGUCAAAAUUUUUGAACGAAAUUUUCAGGAAAUCAUUUUGUGAAAUCGUAGACCAUAAAAAUAUAAUAAAAAUUAAAUUUUUUCUCGUCAAAUUUGUGGUCCCGAAACCACUAUUCCGGCUAGCCCCAAAUUCGGGCUGUUACAUCCUUAUAAGUGGCAUUGUUCAACUUUCUAUAGUGAAUAUAUAUUCUCCAACCCGUGAUAGUUCUCGUCGAGAUUAAUAGGUUUUGUUCAUUUUUGACAAUCGUGAUCCCACCUUUAUUUCGUACAUAUUGUACCGGACUUACCCAAGAACUAUCUGAGAUAGGGUAAAUAAUUCCAGCAUCUAACUAUUUGAUCACCUCCUUCUGUACUAAUUCUUUCAUAAUAGGGUUAAGUCUCCUUUUAUAAUCUAUUUUACCUUUUUCACCUUCCUCUAAAAUAAUUUUAUGCAUACAGAAGGAAGAGCUUAUACCUUUUAUGUCAGUUAUGGUUCAACCAAUUUCCUUUUUAAAUUUCUUUAAAACAACAAUGAAUUGCUCCUCCUGAUGUUCUGUUAAGUCUGUCGAAACAAUCACGGGCAAAGUAUAACUAUUACUAAGAUAAAAAUAUUUUAAAUGGGACAAAAGUACCAUUAGUUUGAGUUUAGGCAGUUCCUCGAUUGACAACUUGGGUUGUGUAAAUUCCUGAACUUCCAACUCUACUGGUUUGAAUUGUAGUUGUUGAUUAUAACUCCUCGGAUUGGCUUCCAUCAAAACCAAACCUUCAUUAACUUUUUCAUCUUCAAUGGUUUAUACCUUAGAGUGUUCUCCAACAAGUCUUCCAUAGAAACUAAGGUUUCUAACUCCUCCAUUACUGAACACUCUUCCAUUGAAUCAGGAAAUUUCAUUUCUUUUAGAAUGUUACUAACUCUUCCAUUGUACAUCUAUCAAUUUUUUUCCUAUGGAUAGGAAAAGACUUCUGAGGAUAAUUGGAACUUCCUUAUCUGCUACAAAAUCCAAUACAAUGAAAUCAGUAGGAAAAAUAAAUUUAUCAACUCUUACCGAACAUUCUCGAUCUUCCCUUCAGUAUAUACUAUCGAUUGAUCUGCCAAUUGAAGUGUCACAGUAGUUGGUCUUACUUCACCUAUUCCUAACAGCUUGCAAAUAGAUUUGGGCAUCACGUUGAUGAUUGCUCCUAAGUUACACAAAGCUUUUCCGCCUAUGCCUACAUUCCCUAUUUUUCCUACAUAAUUGUUGUUGGAGCAAGAUGAUGAUGAUGAAGAUGGCGAAGAAACCACUACGGAGAAGAAAACCAUAAAAUAAGAGGGAGAAGUGGAGAAAACUAAAUUUGUUCAUGUUGAAUCUGAUAAGGAUAACGAUGAUGUGACUUAAGCUAUUACACCUACUAACACCAGCACUACAAUGAAAUCCACUAGACCUAUGACCGAACAAGAACGUACGGUUCAUCAACUGGUUGAUGAUCUCACAAAGUAAGAUAUUGAUAAAAAAUAAGAGGUUCCUAUUAACCAGAUAAAAUGGAAGCGCUCAAAGUCAGCAGCUGAAAAAAUCCGUUCAAGAUGAUGAUGGUGAAGUAGAAAGGAAGUAGCACUACAAACGUGUUGCCAAAAAAUCAACCCAACCUAAUUAAAGUAACCCCAAUUCCUUUCAAGGUUUUGCUUUCUUCUUUCAUUUUAUAACAUAUGUUUCAUGCAUUCGCAUUUAGUUGUCAUUGCAUUUUUAUAAUUGUCAGCUGCUAUUUUUUCAUUUUGACAUGUUUCACUGUUCAUGCAUUGAAGACAAUGCAUCUUUUAGGUUUGGGGGUGUGUUGUGUUGUAAAUAUAGAUAAAUGCUUUAAUAUUCAUGCAUUUUUUCAUUCAUUUUUCCAUUACAUACAAAUGUCAAAUAACUGCCAGACAAUGUUGAGUAUAUUGAUUCCUAAAAAUUAUAAAAGUUGAUUAAACAUGUUUAGCUUAGGAUAGUUUUUUGAAAAUUGAUUCCUAAAAGUAGAAUAACUUAAGUAUCAAUACAACUAAAUCUGUAGUAGGGUUCUUUUAAUUCAUUUAGAAUUUCUUGAACCUAAAUUCAAUAAUUUGGUUAUGAAUGAUAAGGAAUACCCUAGCAAUAGUUUUACACUCAAGUGUUUGAAUCUAUUUAGUAGGUCAGUAAUGCUUUAUUUGCUACGUCGUAUUAUUGAUCAGAAAAACGAGUUAAACUAAGAGUGAGUAAAAAAAUGUUGUAUUAAUAAUAAUUUAGGGACACUCCACUAUAGUAAUAGACUGAUUAGCUAAGAAGGUAGUUGUUUGCUCCAUCCAUCUCUUUACUUUAAAGCUUUAGCUUUAUGAGUGAAAUACAUUAAAAUUGUGGCAUGAUAUAUUACCUGGUAAUCUAGUGUAUGCUCAUUGUCAAGUAAAGAAAUCAUGUCACAAGAUAAAUUCCCUAGAAAAAAUAAUAUUUUUAAUUAAAAUUUUGAACUGACUGAAUAAGUUAGAAUAGAGAAAUUGAGUUUAGAGGAAAGAUAUCUUAAAUACAUUAGGAAAGGUCUGCUAUAGUCAGAAUUGCAUAAUUAUUUUGGAACUUUUAUUUUUAAGAAACAUUUUCUGCACUUCAUUUGCUAAACAAACCUAUAAAACUCGAACAAAUUUUUUUUAUAGAAGACUGCUGAGAAUGGAGGUAUUAAAUAUACUUCAUAUGGUUCAACAGUGCAAAUGGUAACUGUAUGUUUUAGCAAAUAUUCAUGCAUUCAUGCAUACUCAUAUAUAUUUUUCUUGAGGACAAGAAAUAAUUCAAGUUUGGGGUGUGAUAACUUUUAAAAAGAGUUAUACUUCAAGCCUCUAGAUUGAAUUAAUUGUUUGUAAUUAAGUAAAUAUGUUUGCAUUUUUAGAUAUGUGUAGAACAUUGCAUAACAAAGCUUGGAUUGUACUAUAAAUGUUAUUAUUUGUUACUUUUAUUAUUGGGGAAGAAAGGUGUUGGUUGUGGUUGGUAGCAAGUGAAGGAUGAAGAAGAGAAGAGAAAAAAAAAAGAGUAGGAAAAUGAAGGAAGUGAAAUAUUGCCAUGGAAAAAUGUUGGUUAGAUUGCCAAUAAGAAUUCCAUGGCAAUUCUAGGAAGAUGACACAACACUCAGUCCACGUCACUCUCAGCCAACUGUACUUGUACCAAAUAAACCACCUUGAAAAAGAGGAAGCAAAAGGUGUGUGCUGAGAGGAGGAAAGAGAAAAGGGAAAAAAUCUGAUAGAGAGAGAGAAGGUUUAGAGAACAAUUUUUUUCUCUCUACAUCAGAUUCUUAUGAACAAUCUCAGAGAAAGAGAGGAGAAGGCAGCAAAUUACAGAGCAGAAGAAUUAUAGACGUAAAAAAGGGGAAGAGAAAUAUGCCCUGAGUUUUGCAUCAAAUCUCAUUAGUAGAGGGAAAGUUGGAGUAGCAAAAGCUUCCUUCAGAUCUGCCUCUAUUUUCUGAUUUGAACUUUGUGAUUCAUAAACUUAAAUGACAAAGUUGAAUGGUUUUGUUUUAGAUUUGAAUGUCCAACCCAUGAGCUAAAUCUCAUUCGGUUGGAAUUAUUUGGGUGAAUUUUUAUUAUCUUUAAUGCUGAUGGUUUGAUUUUGAGUAGAAAAUUGUUUCAUUUGGUUUUUGAUUAUUGUAAAUACAGCAUGCAAGCUCUAGACAUAGAUGACUGUAUGGUAUGUUAUUAGAUCUUAUUUAAUACUGGAAAGAUUAAAUAGAUUGGAUUAUUAUCGAUUGAUACAGGCGAGUAUUUGAAAUAAUCUUUGUAGCACUCUAAACGUAGAAGUUGCAACCUGUACAGGGAAAGGAAGACUAAUCUGGAUAUCAUUCUUUAGUUCUAUAGACAUACCAAAACUCAGAAUGAUAGCUCAAGGUCUAGCUUUUGAAAAAAGCAGACUGCAAUAGUGAGCCCUUUAGCAGUAGAAUGGUCAAGAUUUUUCCAUGGCAUUAUUCUGAUAUAAAAAUAAGCCUGAGUAAUUCCAACCUUUAUCAUUCAAUAGUACAAACUCAUUCCCAAUUAUUCUUUGAGAAUUGCCACAUCAUUUUAAUUGACCUAGCAUAUUUUCAGUCAUAAUUGAUUUUAUUAAUCCAUUCAUUAAAUUUCUUUAUCAAUUUGUGAUCUGUUUCUUUUACACAGUUUAAUUAGUUAAUUUCGUAGUAAUAGCAUAUCCAAUUAUUUUAAUCAAUUCCAGUCCUUGUGGAGACGAUACUUACUCAUCACUUUAUUACUUGAUUCGACAUUUACACUUGCACAUUCACAUUACACAUUCACACACGACAAUAUCCUAUUCAUACUAUAUUUUUCAUGGUUUUGGAUUCAUAGUUUGAUCAAUCUUCCAACAGGUAUGCUUCGGUAUGAACAUUAUACAUGCACGGGUCAACAUAGGAGCUCACCUAACACUCAAUUACCACAACUUAAACUCUAGACUCAACAUCCAACAUGGAACAACAUCAACUACUGCUAAUAGAACAUAGGAACAUAGUCAAAGACUCACUCAAAAAAAUUCUUUACAUCUAAAACACUAAAAAUUCCCACGCAGAGUCUCAUACUUUCAUUUUACUACUCAUAUAUUAUUUAUAGAUUACUCUUUCUGAGUUCAACAUGCAGAAUAAGAUUCCUUACCCAGACAUUUAGUAUUUACUGAUAAGGUCAAGAAUUACAGCUUCCACCUUAAAGGAGAAACAAAUGCUUUUGGUUCCAAAAAGAAUAAGAUAACAAUAAUUGACCACAUCCAGACAUACCAACAUCUAGAGUGAAAAUCUUGCACAAAAUAUAUCAAAUAGGUGGUAUCUACAAGUAUACGGGUUAGGUUGUAAUAUAGUUACAAGAAAGUAGGUGAGUACUUUGAGGAUCAUACCCAAGGGAGGAGAAUACUAAAUUAAUCCUAACCUAAGCAUAAAUAGAGGUAAUUAAGGGAGGAUAAUACUAAAUUAAUCCUAACCUAAGUAUAAAUAGAGCUAAUUAGUACUUGAAAUAAAUUAUAUUAUGAAUAAAAAUAAAGAAUUUUUUUGGUAUUUUUAUAAAUAGAUAAUAAUAUAAUAUAAAGGAAAAGACUUUGGGAAAUUUGGAUAAGGGAAUUGAAUUAGAUCGAGCACGAAUGAUUAGCUCGCUUUAGUACCCAUAACUAAUUGUUGCUUCGGGUUUCCUGUUCAAUCAACUAGUCGUUAUCCUAGCAAGAUCUCUCGAUCUUCCACUAAAAUAACACAUUAGCAAGAACUACAUAUCUCUCGACCUCACAGUCCAGAUCAGUUCGAGUUUAAGGUGUUCACGAAUAGACCAUACCAAUUUUGAGUAAAUUUCCACCUAGAUGUCCAAUACCCCGAAAAUUACUACUGUAAUACCCUAAAAAUUACUACAGUAAGAAAGUAGGUAUCCUUGACAGUAAAAUAAGGAAAUAAAGUGAAAAAAAUGGAAAUUUUAUGGAAACAUUGGGAAUUAUAUUAUGACAUAUUAAUUCAAGAAAGGAUUAACUCGCAAAAGUGAGAAAAGUUUUGUUGCCCAAGAGUAAAUACUAGAAAUUUGAGGGGUUAAAGGGUAAAUACGAAAAAUUUGAAAGAUCAAUAGUGUAAAUAUUUUAAGGGUGGAAUAAUCUAGAAAUUAAGGAAAAUGGAUGAAUUAUGACCAAAUUGAAAAGGUGAAGAAUUUUGAGGGGCUAAAUCACAAUUUUACCAAAUUAAGUGAUGACUCAAGGAUGAAAUUUUUAAAGAUUUUGAAGGGAAAAAUGGUCAAUUAGAAGAGAGAGAAAUCUAGAAGGCAAUGAUGAUGUUGGUGAUAUUUUAGAUUAAUUAAUUAAAUAAAUAUUAGUUUAUUAAUAUUUUAAUUUGAUUUUUUAAAAUGAUAUUUUAUUAUUUUAUUAUUAUUCUAUUUAGUAUAUAUAUGGAAGGAAAGAUGAAGAAUCUUCAUAUUUUUCCAUGCAACCAACAUGAGAAGAGAGGAAAAGAAAGAAAUUUUUGCUUUCUUUACAAUUUGGUCCUUCCACCAAAAAUUUACCAUUUUCACUUAGAAAUCAAAAGAAUUUCCAUAGCUUCCAAGAGAGAAAAAAAACAAGGAGACAAUGGGGAGCUAGAAUAUCAAGUUAGAUUCAAGAAAUAGAAGAUGUAGGAAAGAGAAAAUCAAGUUAAAGAUUGAAAUCAAUAGCACAACGUAAGAACAUCACGAUUUCAAUAUAUUUUUAAGUUUGAUAUUAUUGAAAAAGCAUAGAAAUAAUGUUAUAGUAGAGUUUUCUUAUAUAAGGUCUUAUGUUCUUGAUAUAUUAGUGAAGAAAAAUAAGUGAAAGUGAUGGGAAAUAUUAUAGAGAAAGGGAAUAAGAGAGUUAUACACCUACAACAUGUUUGGUUUGGUGUAAUGGAUUAGCCAUUACACCCCUAUUCUGUGGGCCCCACUAAUCCCCACUUAAUCCCAUGUUUGGUUUGAUGUAUUGCCUAUUACAGGCCUAUUACAACACGGAUGUAUUCCUGAUUUUCUCUGCUUCAACAACGAUUAGCCAUUCCGUUCCAAAAGUAAGGAUUAGCUAAUCGUUUCUGUUUUACCCUCCCCAGCCAAAAUCUGCUGCUCCACCCCACCAUCUCCCUCCCAACAUCAACAGCAGUACACAACCCACCAAACUCCAAGGCAAAAGUCUUCGAAGACCUAUCAUCUCUUUUAUUUUAUUACCGAUUGGAUCCAAACAAAGGAUUUUUUUGACCUUUUAAUGGAUCAUUGGUAUUUUAUAGGAUUUUUGCUUCUUAUUUUGCUUCAUCUCUGUUUGGUUUCAGUUGAGAUCAAUGGAUCGGUGCUUGAAAUGAAGAGAGGAACUUCUUCGGUUCCAUUUGAUCCCACUCGUGUUACUCAACUCUCAUGGCACCCUAGGUCACUUUAAUUUCUCUCUUCUUCUUUUUCGCAUUUUGUAACUUUUUUCUGUUUAAUUUACUCAAAAUUGUGAACUUUAUGUUUUUAUUUUUAUUUUCGGGGCUUUCCUUUACAAAGGAUUUUUAUCAAGUGAGGAAUGCGAUCACCUUAUUACUCUGGUAAGCAACAUUUUUUUAAACUAAUUUGUUGAUUAAUUUCGAUUUGUGAUGUUAACCCCCUCCCCUUUUUUUCUUAAAAUGUGUGAAUUUCAGGCUAAGGAUAAAUUAGAGAAGUCAAUGGUGGCGGAUAAUGAAUCGGGUGAUAGCAUUGAGAGUGAAGUUCGAACUAGCUCUGGCAUGUUUCUUCAGAAAGCUCGGGUAUAUAAUUAAAUUGCCCCUUUUUUUAGUUUAAAUCUGUGAAAUUAGCUGGAAUUCUGUUAAUGGAAGAUAGAAAUAUUAUAGCGGUGAAGGUAGUUCACUUAUUCUUCAUAAAUAACAAAAUUUUGGAUGGUAGUUUAUGACAGAUGAUGUUUUAGGUGUCUUUUACUCCUUUCCCCUAAUGAUUCAUUCACACUUAAUCUAGGGCAAGCUCUUUACCUAAAGAAUCCGUUUCCUCACUGAAUGCAUUGAAAGUUAAAGAUGAUAGUUGUGCUCUUUGGCAUUGGCUUAAGCUUUUGGGAUAAUUACUUUCCCUUAAUGCUGUAUCAGAUAUCUCGAGUAGGACUCCUGAUAACUGAUUUACUUCUUAUUUCUUCCUCUGCUGUCUUGUUGCUCACUGGGGAAUGCGUUACUGCUUUAAUCAUUCUUCAGUUUGCACCUUUUUCUUCACUGGAGUUCAGGUCCAAAUGUGUACUGCUUAGUAUUAGUUACUUGUUUCAUUAAGUUUAGAGAUCGUUUACUCAAUACUAAUUUUGAUGACUCAGAUUGUUUAUUUUUGUGGACCGUGUUUGGAAAGCAUUGUAUAUGCUGAUUCUUGAAGUUCAAAUGCUUAUGUGAACAAGUGAAAUUAAGUUUGCCACUUUUGUUUGUAUGAUUGGUUUGUGAUUUGUAUUCCAAUGAAUUCUGCAGAUAUUACUAUGAACCUGCUGUAUAUGUUCAUAGCUUCUUAUUUAAUUGUUCUCGGAUAAAAUUGCCACCUUAGAAAUCCAACCAUAUAAUCCAACCAUAUACUUUUAUUCAUAAUAUACCUGUGGUAUUAUUAACAUCGUGUAAGGCUAAUAUGGAUAGGUGGUGAUGAAACCUUACUAUCAUAAUUUUGUUUUUGGUAUGUAUUUUAUGAGCGUUAAUUCAUCAUACUAUUAUUAUGAGCGUCAAUUCUGCUGAAUAUAUCUAGAUCUUUGUUUAUAGAGAAUCGACUGAAUUGCAAAAUUUUAGCAUCUGCUAUGAUGAAUGUCACCUGACUGGUAAUCAUUUCAGGGCACCCUGACUCAGUACUACGAACAGCUGCCAGUAAGUCUAGAGAAUUUGAGGCUGUAUACGGGAAACACCGAAGCAAGGGAUCUGAAGACAAGUUGCCAAUGCAAAGUAGUCUUGACGAAAUGGUGGUUUUUAUUCGGGAACUAAUCAGCCUUACACGCUUAAAGACAUGGGAGGAGGGCACUUGUAUUAGGUCAUUGACUCAACUUCAACAGAGGGCAAGGAUGCUUCUGCAUCAACAUUGAUUCAAUGAAAUCCAUGUAAUAUUUGUAAUUUUUCCCAGGGUCAUUCAUUUUCGGAUAUAAUUAGUGAUGUGAAUAGGAUUGUGACUAAUAUGCUAUCUAGCAUUUUGUAAAGUUUGGGUAGGCUAGAAAAUUGGAAAACAUAUUAGUUGGUAGCUGGAAUGUUGAAAUGAGCUGACCGGCAUUUUGUACAAUGCAUUUCUAAU
rnacentral:lncRNA from 1 species